UUCCCGCUUGGUGAUCUUGGUGAGCUCAUCUCCUUCGUGCGCGGUUUUGAGCACAUCCCAAAUCUCCUUAGCGCUCUUCAACCCUUGUACUUUGUUAUACUCCUCUCUACUUAGAGAGGCGAGGAGUAUUGUCGUUGCUUGUGAGUUGAAGUGCUCGAUUUGGGCCACCUCAUCCUCAUCAUAGUUCUCAUCCCCUACCGACGGUACCUGUGCACCAAACUCAACAACAUCCCAUAUACUUUUGUGGAGCGAGAUUAGAUGAAAUCGCAUUAAAUCGCUCCACCUAGCGUAAUCUUCACCAUCAAAAGUUGGUGGUUUGCCUAAUGGGACGGAAAGUAAAGGAGUAUGUUUGGAAAUGCGAGGGUAGCGUAGGGGAAUCUUACUAUACUUCUUGCGCUCUUGGCGCUUAGAAGUGACGGAGGCCGCGUCGGAGUCGGAGGUUGAUGUUGAUGAAGUGUCGGUCUCGUAGUAGACCACCUUCCUCAUUCUUUUGUGCUUGUCCCCUCUCCGAUGCGGCUUGUGAGAAGAAGAUUUUUCCUUCUUCUCUUUGUGGUGAGAAGAGGAAGACUUUUUCUCCUUCCGUUUGGAGGAGUCCUUCUUCUUCUCCUUCCUCUUGGUGUGGGACUCUUCCGAUGAAGUACUCCCUUGGCUUGUAGUGGGCUUUUCGCCGGUCUCCAUCUCCUUCUUGGCGUGAUCUCCCGACAUCACUUCGAGCGGUUAGGCUCUAAUGAAGCACCGGCCUCUGAUACCAAUUGAAAGUCGCCUAGAGGGGGGGUGAAUAGGGCGAAACUGAAAUUUACAAAUAUAAACACAACUACAAGCCGGGGUUAGCGUUAGUAAUAAAGAAACGAGUCCGCGAGAGAGGGCGCAAAACAAAUCCCAAGCGAAUAAGCAAGUGAGACACGAAGAUUUGUUUUACCGAGGUUCGGUUCUUGCAAACCUACUCCCCGUUGAGGAGGCCACAAAGGCCGGGUCUCUUUCAACCCUUCCCUCUCUCAAACGGUCCCUCGGACCGAGUGAGCUUCUCUUCUCAAAUCAAAGCCGGGAACAAAACUUCCCCGCAAGGGCCACCACACAAUUGGUGCCUCUUGCCUUGAUUACAAUGAAGUUGUGAUCUCAAGAACAAGUGAGAAAAAAAGAAGCAAUCCAAGCGCAAGAGCUCAAAUGAACACGGCAAAUCACUCUCUCUAAUUACUAAAUCCUUUCGUGGAAUUGGAGAGGAUUUGAUCUCUUUUGGUGUGUCUAGAAUUGAAUGCUAGAGCUCUUGUAGUAGUUGGGAAGUGGAAAACUUGGAUGUAAUGAAUGGUGGGGUGGUUGGGGUAUUUAUAGCCCCAACCACCAAACUUGACCGUUGGCUGGAGGCGUCUGCUCGAUGGCGCACCGGACAGUCCGGUGCACACCGGACAGUCCGGUGCCCCCUGCCACGUCAUCACUGCCGUUGGAUUCUGACCGUUGGAGCUUCUGACUUGUGGGCCCGCCUGGGUGUCCGGUGCACACCGGACAGGUACUGUUUGAUGUCCGGUGUGCCAGCAUGGGCGAUUCUGACUUCUGCGCGCGCAGAGGGCGCAUUAAAUGCGCGGCAGAGAGCCGUUGGCGCGGAGAUGACCGUUGCUCCGGAGUCGCACCGGACAGUCCGGUGUACACCGGACAGUCCGGUGAAUUAUAGUGGACGAGCCGUUGGCUUUUCCCGAAGCUGGCGAGUUCCUGAGGCCGACCUCCCUUGGCGCACCGGACACUGUCCGGUGUACACCGGACAGUCCGGUGAAUUAUAGCCGAGUCGCCCUGGAAAUUCCCGAAGGUGGUGAGUUUGAGUCUGAGUCCCCUGGUGCACCGGACAGGUACUGUUCACUGUCCGGUGGCACACCGGACAGUCCGGUGCGCCAGACCAGGGGUGCCUUCGGUUGCCCCUUUGCUCCUUGGUUGAAUCCAAAACUUGGUCUUUUUAUUGGCUGAGUGUGAACCUUUUACUCCUGUAUAAUCUAUACACUUGGGCAAACUAGUUAGUCCAAUUUUGUGUUGGGCAAUUCAACCACCAAAAUUAUUUGGGAACUAGGUGUAAGCCUAAUUCCCUUUCACUUGGCGGCCGAACGGGUGAACCACCCACCCAUUUCUGCCGCCCUCGAUGGGCCAUCCGAUUGUAUCUACGCGCGGGCUCUCCCUCAACACUCUAGUGCCCGAGCUCCUUCCCCAGCGGCCUCCGCUCGGCGCGCCCCUUCUCUGCUCCCUCUGCGCGUGGACCCAGGGCGUCAGACUCGCCCCCUUCCUUCGCCCGCGCGACCCGGGCGAGCUCCAUCCUUGCGCGAUCCUCGGAAUCGGUUGACAACUGACCCUCGCGCGACCGCACGGGAUUACCCUGGGGCUCUGCGUCCUCUUUGCAUCGAUCCCCCUCCAAUAGAACGCUGCACGUCCAUCUCCGCACAAACCGGUAGUGCGCGUAACAGACGCCGUUCUCACCGGAGCUGCGGCAGACCACUUCCCCCCGAAACGAGCGGCGUAGGACCUGACGCCUCACCCCCUACCUCUCGUUAAAGCAGCGCCGAAUUUCUCUAUCGCAGAGCCAGCCCCAUACCCAUCCUUCUCGCCGCGCGGCCGAGCGAGGUGCUCGCCGGCGUCCACCGAAAUUGUUGAGCUCGUGCCUUGGCAAGUCUCUCGGAGUAUCGUCUGGAGGCCGGGGAUCGUUCUGGGGGAUGUGCGCGCAUGACUGAGGCCUCACCAUCACUAGAAUCGCUCACCGGAACUGUUCGCCCGCUCUCCACCGUGGCCAGCCGCGGUCAUCGCUUCAAUCACCGGUAUGUCAACUCCUUAUUGUUCGUUAGGGCUCAGACAUCGUCUAGCACCGUUUGAUUAGAGUAUUGGGGUGCGGGAGUGCCGGAAUUGGAUUACUCCGGCAAAGCGCCGCCGCUGUGGCUCUGCGCCACCGUGCGGGAGGUCCGGUGGGUGGGAUGAAGGUGCCGGGUUUCGCGUGGAUCGUCGAUCUCACAAGCAACAGUUAGGAUUAGAUUAUGCGUAACGGUUCGACCCGAGCGAUCUGAUGCGUCCAAACGCAAUCGGGCGGCCGAGAUCGUGGUUGGGUACCCAGUCGUCCGAUGAAUUAUAUACCGUUGAUCUUGGAUCGAUCGGUCACAUGGCAUGCGUCGAUAUUUAAAAUCCCUACCGUUAGAUUGGAAGUUAAUGGAUAGGAUUAGAUCGCGCGUGCGUCUGCGUCUCAUUAAAAUCCGACCGCACGAUCUGAUUUGGGUGGUCCAUAUUGAAUGAUACCCCUUCGUGGGUACAUUUUACUAAAGAGGCCUCAGAGUCUUGGUUAUUUAACCCGCCGUCAACCCUAGGGCUAGGAUGAGUCUGUGGAUUACUUCUGAUUUUGCCCCUGUGCUUUUCUGUAUUUGAGGCAUAGUCCAGGAAUUAAAUAAAACAGGAAAAAUAGAUUUAGAAAUUGAUUUUGAGUAUAAAAAUAGUUGUAAAACUUGUAUAAUUCAUAUUUUAUUCAUGUUAACUCCAAAUUAGUUCAUUCAAAUUUCUAUAAUUCUAUAAUAUUAUUGUGUAUCGCCUAGUGCCUAUGUUUUGACAUAAAAUCCACUUUAAAAUUUAUAUCCUAAUUAAUCUUGUAUCAAACACAUAAAACCCUAGUAAAUUCAUAACUUCUCCGUUCUAACUCCGAUUUGAUCCGUUCAAGUUGCGUUAGUCUCGUAGCAAUGCGUAGAUCAUUAUUAUCCAGUAUAUUUUAUGUUUGGUGUGAUGUUAGUUUUGUCUAUACACUAUUUGUUUGUAUUGCUACGACUAGCGGUGGGGUUACGAGGAUUUGAAGAAUCACCCUGGUAACUGGAAUCUCAAGUGCCAGGCAAGUUGUGCCCUUGACCACUUUUUACCCAAUAAUGUUUUUAAUAUCAUUUAUUCAUGCAUAGGUUAAUUUUGAUGAGACCCAAUAGGUUACCCUAGAUUGUUUAUCUCAUUACCUUGUUUACCCCUGAAUCACUUGGGUAGUUUGCUAUUGCUUUACAUGGAUUUGGGAUCAUUAUUUAUCAUAUCUAUGUUCCAGUUAUUUUGUUAUUCUAUUUAUGUUCAUGUCAAGGUCAUUAAUGUUAAUUGGAACAUAGAGCUUAACUUGAGAAACACGUGCCACCACAAGGGUUUAUGGACGCCCUUGGCUGAUUAAUUAGGAAAGCUAGCGGAAGACUACCUUACCCGAAAGGGGCAAGGGCAGUAGGGGAGUUGCAUGCAAGGAGGUUCUCGGGUUGAUUUUGCUGAGAUGGCGGUCAGACGGGGGAUUCUUGCAAGUGCGCUUCUCAUAAACUGUAGCGGGUUUUCGGAAGCUAGUGGAACUUUGUAAAGGCCUCGUAGUGGAUCCCUAGCCAUUCACCUCGGUAGUGUCUAAGGGUCUAGCUAACCCUGGCGACAUAGGAUACACGACUUUUGGGUAAAGGGUACAACCUCUGCAGAGUGUAAAACUGGUAUACUAGCCGAGCUCAUGGUCAUGAGCAGCUCAGGACUCUCUGAUGAUUAAUUUAUGGAACUAAAUUCAAUUUGUCAUAUGCAUUGCAUCGCAGGUGAUGUUGUUACUUUUGUUCUACUACUUAAUUGGGUUGGUAUUUACUUAUACUUAGUAAUUGCUAAUAAAAUUUUGACCAACUUUAAAAGCAAUGCUCAGCUCUAACCAUCCUCUUUGGUAAGCCUUACACUUCACGUGAGCUCCCACCUUUGGCGAGUUCAUGCACAUUAUUCCCCACAACUUGUUGAGCGAUGAACGUAUGUGAGCUCACUCUUGCUGUCUCACACCCCCCCACAGGUCAAGAACAGGUACCGCAGGAUGAGGCGCAUGGAGGAUGCUGCGAUGAGUUCGUGAGAGAUCUAGGUCGUCGUCUCCCAGUCAACUUUGGGUUGCUGGACCGUUGUCUCCAUAUAAUGUAAUUAUUUAUUUAUUUUGUACAAAACUCCGAUUAUAUAGUAAAGAUGUGACAUUCGAUCCUGUGCCAUGAUUCAUCAUAUGUGUGAGACUUGGUCCCAGCACACCUGGUGAUUAUGUUCGCGCCCGGGUCUUGGUGCCCCCGAAACCCGGGUGUGACAGAAGUGGUCUCAGAGGAAUGUUGACUAUAGGAUGAAACCUAGAUAGAACUGGACAACCAUUAUCUACUUACCUUUGCUACUCUGAUUCUUUUCUAAACUUCUCUUAAUCUUUUCUCAUCUAUUUCUGCUUUACUUUGAUUAUUCUUACCUUUUCACUUCUAAAGACAAACUUGGAUUUCGCACUUUGAAAUCUUGUGGUUAAAGUGACUUUUUUGAAUAGGAGACCUACUCUUAGGAAUAAAAAUAAAACUAUUUUUAUAGAUAUCUUUGAAUUUGAAUGUUUUGUUCUUAUGAUACUUGUCUGAUUUGGAUCUUUGAUUAAGUGUGAUGAGUUGUGGAGUAAUGUCCACAAUUACAUCUGCAUAUACAUAUAGAAAAAAAUCUUAUAAAAAUAACUAGACAAACUAGAUUAUCCCUCAUUAAAGUAUCUAGCCUAACAAUAUCCAUCUCAUCUUAAAAUAUUCUAUCCUACACUCAUAGAUCCAUCUUAUCCUAAAAAAUACUCAUCUUAUCUUGAAAAGGGUCUUAUGACAUCCUAAUAGAUCUAACUGACCUCAAAAGAUUCUACCUUGUCCUUAUGGAUUCAUCUUACCCUAAUAAGCAUAUUUACCCCACACUAGUAACAACCAGGAUCUAAUCCAAAAUAAUGAGAUCUUAACUAGUCUAAUCUAGUCAUAUCCAAUCUAAUCUCGAUCCUAUCUAAUCUUAUAUGAUCUAAUUUAGUGUGAGUUACUUAAUGCUGGUACAAAGGAUAAGGCCAUACUUCUAAUCACUUACGCCUAACUUGGUGACUUAGAUCAACUCGGCCAUACCCAACAACUUGACCUACAUGAUAGGUUACAUAACCUAUCCCACCCGUCUAGAAGCAAACGACCAAACCAGAUUCUGACUAACCUCAUUAAACUCAUAGCCAUCUACUAAACCAACUGCUCUACCUACGUGUUACAUACAGAUCUAUCUUAACCAAGACACCAAUACGAAGAAGAUCAACCUCAUCAAGGAAAGGAUAAGAGUCACCGUCAAGGAAGGUAAUCGUCAAGGAUAAAAGUCAAACCAGAUCUCUAGAUGCAUCAAGAUCCACCAUCUGGGAUAGAAAUUUUUCUUGCCUAACCUUCUCUUAUCCUAAGCUUUUCUAAAUCUUACUUAUUAGGUAAAACAUAAUAUGUGCAUGUUUUCUAGCCACACUUGCUAAUGAAGAGAAACUUUUGGGAGCAUUAAAACUAAUUGAAAACAAAAAGUUUUAAAAAAACUUUCUAUAUCCCUUUCUUGCAAAUCUCGGGGACGAGAUUAUUUUUAAGGGGGUAGGAUUUGUAAUACCCACUUUGUAAAAAAACUAAAGGGAGAGAUUAUAUUCCUUUAUAUGUAUGUGUGUUAUCCCUAUUUAUCAUUUCAUGUGGACACCUCACCUAUACAAAUAAAUAAUUAACAAAAGACACUCAAAUAAACUAUGCAUCAUGCUCGGUUUUACUUGAUUGCACAUUUGUGGACAAUAAAAAUAAAUGUGUCAUUACUAAGAUAUUAAUGGAUACAUAGAAUUUAACUUCUACAUUUGAAAACAAAACUCUAAAGUAAAGAAGAGGAAUGGAAAAUCUUAAUUAUAAUGUGCAAGAAAAAUUUUAUAUGUAGAUAUCUCUAUCCUUACUAGGGUCUUGGAAUUAAACUUAAAUUUAGGAAUGAAUUCCCAACCAAAUUUGGGUUUGAACUUGAAUUCCAAAAAUGUGAGAAAAAGGAACCAGAAAAGGAAAAUAAAAAUAAAAUAGAAGUGAAAAUGGCCGUGUGGGCCAAAUUCGAUGCGGCCGGCCCAUAUACACAACAUCCCCGCCCGGCCGUUCCGCAACUCGGCGCCGACAUCAUGGCCCACCGGGCAGUGGCACCCUCGCGUCCAAGCGUCGCGUCGUGUGCACCAGUGUGGGUCGCAGACAUGUGGACCCCCAACCACUGUGGAUCUUCCCACGCGUGGGCGGAUUCCGUCGUCGCUCUCUGUAACAAGCUCCGCCGUAUGCAGCUGGGAUUCCGUCGAGUCCGUUGCUAGCCCCUAUAAAACCCAGCCGCUCCCGCCUCAGCUACCUCCCCAUGGCGAAAUCCCUCCGAUGGCUGGACUCGUCCGUCGCGCCCCUGUUCCUCAGCCUGGCUCUGCAGUCACUGCGCCGCCGCUGAGGAUGGCACCACGACUGUUGUCGUCUUCGCUAGAUCCCUUCACCACCUCGCGUCGCGCGCUGUUGAUCCUCCACGGCCGCACCUGGGAGACCUCGGCUGCGGUCAAUUGCUCGACUCAUCCUCCGAUACCGCCAUGAACCCAGUCGCGCCGCUGCCAUGGCGCUCGGCACCUGUUGUCCCUACUGCUCAUCCUUGGCGGCUGAACGGGUGAACCACCCACCCAUUUCUGCCGCCCUCGAUGGGCCAUCCGGUUGCAUCUACGCGCGGGCUCUCCCUCAACACUCUAGUGCCCGAGCUCCUUCCCCAGCGGCCUCCGCUCAGCGCGCCCCUUCUCUGCUCCCUCUGCGCGUGGACCCGGGGCGUCAGACCCGCCCCCUUCCUUCGCCCGCGCGACCCGGGCGAGCUCCAUCCUUGCGCGAUCCUCGGAAUCGGUUGACAACUGACCCCCGCGCGACCGCACGAGAUUACCCUGGGGCUCUGCGUCCUCUUUGCAUCGAUCCCCCUCCAAUAGAACGCUGCACGUCCAUCUCCGCACAAACCGGUAGUGCGCGUAACAGACGUCGUUCUCACCGGAGCUGCGGCGGACCACUUCCCCCCGAAAUGAGCGGCGUAGGACCCGACGCCUCACCCCCUGCCUCUCGUUAAAGCAGCGCCAAAUUUCUCUAUCGCAGAGCCAGCCCCAUACCCAUCCUUCUCGCCGUGCGGCCGAGCGAGGUGCUCGCCGGUGCUCCACCGAAAUUGUUGAGCUCGUGCCUUGGCAAGUCUCUCGGAGUAUCGCCUGGAGGCCGGGGAUCGUUCUAGGGGAUGUGCGCGCACGACUGAGGCCUCACCAUCACUGGAAUCGCUCACCGGAACUGUUCGCCCGCUCUCCACCGUGGCCAGCCGCGGUCAUCGCUUCAAUCACCGGUAUGUCAACUCCUUAUUGUUCGUUAGGGCCCAGACAUUGUCUAGCACCGUUUGAUUUGAGUAUUGGGGUGUGGGAGUGCCAGAAUUGGAUUACUUUGGCAAAGCGCCGCCGCUGUGGCUCUGCGCCACCGUGCGGGAGGUCCGGUGGGUGGGAUGAAGGUGCCGGGUUUCGCGUGGAUCGACGAUCUCACAAGCAACGGUUAGGAUUAGAUUAUGCGUAACGGUUCGACCCAAGCGAUCUGAUGCGUCCAAACGCAAUCGGGCGGCCGAGAUCGUGGUUGGGUACCCAGUCGUCCGAUGAAUUAUAUACCGUUGAUCUUGGAUCGAUCGGUCACAUGGCAUGCGUCGAUAUUUAAAAUCCCUACCGUUAGAUUGGAAGUUAAUGGAUAGGAUUAGAUCGCGCGUGCGUCUGCGUCUCAUUAAAAUCCGACCGCACGAUCUGAUCUGGGUGGUCCAUAUUGAACGAUACCCUUCGUGGGUACAUUUUACUAAAGAGCCCUCGGAGUCUUGGUUAUUUAACUCGCCGUCCACCCUAGGGUAGGAUGAGUCUGUGGAUUACUUCUGAUUUUGCCCCUGUGCUUUCCUGUAUCUGAGGCGCAGUCCAGGAAUUAAAUAAAACAGGAAAAAUAGAUUUAGAAAUUGAUUUUGAGUAUAAAAAUAGUUGUAAAACUUGUAUAAUUCAUAUUUUAUUCAUGUUAACUCCAAAUUAGUUCAUUUAAAUUUCUAUAAUUCUAUAAUAUUAUUGUUUAUCGCCUAGCGCCUAUGUUUUGACAUAAAAUCCACUUUAAAAUUUAUAUCCUAAUUAAUCUUGUAUCAAACACAUAAAACCCUAGUAAAUUCAUAACUUCUCCGUUCUAACUCCGAUUUGAUCCGUUCAAGUUGCGUUAGUCUCGUAGCAAUGCGUAGAUCAUUAUUAUGCAGUAUAUUUUAUGUUUGGUGUGAUGUUAAUUUUGUCUAUACACUAUUUGUUUGUAUUGCUACGACUAGCGGUGGGGUUACGAGGAUUUAAAGAAUCACCGUGGUAACUGGAAUCUCAAGUGCCAAACAAGUUGUGCCCUUGACCACUUUUUACCCAAUAAUGUUCUUUAAUAUCAUUUAUUCAUGCAUAGGUUAAUUUUGAUGAGUCCCAAUAGGUUACCCUAGAUUUUUUAUCUCAUUACCUUGUUUACCCCUGAAUCACUUGGGUAGUUUGCUAUUGCUUUACAUGGAUUUGGGACAAUUAUUUAUCAUAUCUAUGUUCCAGUUAUUUUGUUAUUCUAUUUAUGUUCAUGUCAAGAUCAUUAAUGUUAAUUGGAACAUAGAGCUUAACUUGAGAAACAUGUGCCACCACAAGGGUUUAUGGACGCCCUUGACUGAUUAAUUAGGAAAGCUAGCGGAAGACUACCUUACCCGAAAGGGGCAAGGGCAGUAGGAGAGUUGCAUGCAAGGAGGUCUCGGGUUGAUUUUGCUGCGAUGGCGGUCAGAUGGGGGAUUCUUGCAAGUGCGCUUCUCAUAAACUGUAGCGGGUUUUCGGAAGCUAGUGGAACUUUGUAAAGGCCUCGUAGUGGAUCCCUAGCCAUUCACCUCGGUAGUGUCUAAGGGUCUAGCUAACCCUGGCGACAUGGGAUACACGACUUGUGGGUAAAGGGUACAACCUCUGCAGAGUGUAAAACUGGUAUACUAGCCGAGCUCACGGUCAUGAGCAGCUCAGGACUCUCUGAUGAUUAAUUUAUGGAACUAAAUUCAAUUUGUCAUAUGCAUUGCAUCGCAGGUGAUGUUGUUACUUUUGUUCUACUACUUAAUUGGGUUGGUAUUUACUUAUACUUAGUAAUUGCUAAUAAAAUUUUGACCAACUUUAAAAGCAAUGCUCAGCUCUAACCAUCCUCUUUGGUAAGCCUUACACUUCACGUGAGCUCCCACCUUUGGCGAGUUCAUGCACAUUAUUCCCCACAACUUGUUGAGCGAUGAACGUAUGUGAGCUCACUCUUGCUGUCUCACACCCCCCCACAGGUCAAGAACAGGUACCGCAGGAUGAGGCGCAUGGAGGAUGCUGUGAUGAGUUCGUGAGAGAUCUAGGCCGUCGUCUCCCAGUCAACUUUGGGUUGCUGGACCGUUGUCUCCAUAUAAUGUAAUUACUUAUUUAUUUUGUACAAAACUCCGAUUAUAUAGUAAAGAUGUGACAUUCGAUCCUGUGCCAUGAUUCAUCAUAUGUGUGAGACUUGGUCCCAGCACACCUGGUGAUUAUGUUCGCGCCCGGGUCUUGGUGCCCCCGAAACCCGGGUGUGACAGUACGCCUUUCAAGUCCUUGAUGGGCCCCAUGUUGGUGAUGGCCGCGAUUUUCUCUGGGUUGGCCUCGAUGCCCCGCUCGGAGACGUUGAACCCCAAGAGCAUGCCUCGGGGGACUCCGAAGACGCACUUCUCGGGAUUGAGUUUUACGCCUUUCGCCUUGAGACACCUGAAUGUUGUUUCAAGGUCAGAGAGGUGGUCGGAGGCUUUCCUCGUCUUGACUACGAUGUCAUCGACGUAAGCCUCGACCGUUCUACCAACGUGCUCUCCGAACACGUGGUUCAUGCAUCUUUGGUACGUCACACCCGCAUUCCUCAAACCAAAUGGCAUAGUAACGUAGCAGUACAUGCCAAAGGGCGUGAUGAAAGAAGUCGCGAGCUAGUUGGACUCUUUCAUCCUGAUUUGGUGAUACCCUGAGUAGGCAUCGAGGAAAGACAAGGUUUCGCACCCAGCAGUGGAAUCCACGAUUUGAUCGAUGCGAGGCAGAGGGUAGGGAACCUUCGGACAUGCUUUGUUUAGACUAGUGUAGUCUACACACAUCCGCCAUUUCCCUCCUUUCUUUCUCACAAGCACAGGGUUGGCAAGCCAUUCGGGAUGGAAUACCUCUUUGAUGAACCCUGCGGCCAUCAGCUUGUGGAUCUCCUCGCCCAUGGCUCUGCGCUUUUCUUCGUCGAAUCGGCGCAGAGGCUGCUUCACGGGUCGGGCUCCAGCUCGGAUAUCCAGCGAGUGCUCGACGACAUCCCUCGGUAUGCCAGGCAUGUCCGAGGGACUCCACGCAAAGACUUCGGCGUUCGCGCGGAGAAAGUCGACGAGCACUGCUUCCUAUUUGGGGUCGAGCUCGGAGCCGAUCUGGAUCUGCUUGGAGGCGUCGUUGCUGGGGUCGAGAGGGACGGACUUAACCGUCUCUGCUGGCUCGAAGUUGCCGGCGUGGCGCUUCGCAUCUGGCGCCUCCUUGGAGAGACUCUCCAGGUCGUCGAUGAGGGCCUCAGAUUCGGCGAGGGCCUCGGCGUACUCCACGCACUCCACGUCGCAUUCGUACGCGUGUCGUUACGUGGGGCCGACGGUGAUGACCCCCCGUUGGGGCCCGGCAUUUUGAGCUUGAGGUAGGUGUAGUUGGGGACGGCCAUGAACUUGGCGUAGCAUGACCUCCCCAGUACUGCGUGGUAGGUUCCUCGGAACCCGACCACCUCGAACGUGAGGGUUUCCCUUCGGAAGUUGGAGGGAGUCCCAAAGCAGACGGGCAGAUCGAGUUGUCCGAGGGGUUGGACGCGUUUCCCGGGGAUGAUCCCAUGAAAAGGCACCGCGCCUGUCCAGAUCGAGGACAGAUUGAUCUGCAGGAGUCCGAGGGUCUCGGCGUAGAUGAUGUUGAGGCUGCUGCCUCCGUCCAUGAGGACCUUGGUGAGCCUGACGUUGCCGAUGACGGGGUCGACAACGAGCGGAUAUUUCCCCGGGCUCGGCACGCGGUCGGGGUGGUCGCCCUAGUCGAAGGUGAUGGGCUUGUCGGACCAGUCUAGGUAGACUGGCGCCGCCACCUUUACUGAGCAGACCUCCCGACGCUCUUGCUUGCGGUGCCGAGCCGAGGCAUUCGCCACUUGCCCACCGUAGAUCAUGAAGCAGUCGUGGACCUCGGGGAACUCCUUUGCCUUGUGAUCCUCCUUCUUGUCGUUGUUGUGGGCCCUGCCACCUUCCACAGGUGUCCCGACCUUGUGAAAGUGGUGCCGAAGCAUGACACACUCCUCAAGGGUGUGCUUGACGGGCCCCUGAUGAUAGGGGCACGACUCCUUGAGCAUCUUAUAGAAGAGAUUGGCACCUCCAGGAGGUUUCCGAGGGUUCUUGUACUCAGCGGCGGCGACAAGGUCCGCGUCGGUGGCAUCGCGUUUCGCUUGUGACUUCUUCUUGUUCUUCUUCUUGGUGCCGCGCUGAGCGGACGCCUCGGGGACGUCUUCCGGCUGGCGGCCCUAGGGCUGCUUGUCCUUUCGGAAGAUGGCCUCAACCGCCUCCUGGCCAGAGGCGAACUUGGUGGCGAUGUCCAUCAGCUCGCUCGCCCUGGUGGGGGUCUUGCGACCCAGCUUGCUCACCAGGUCGCGGCAUGUGGUGCCGGCGAGGAACGCGCCGAUGACGUCGGAGUCGGUGACGUUGGGCAGCUCGGUGCGCUGCUUCGAGAAUCGCCGGAUGUAGUCUCGGAGAGACUCUCCCGGCUGCUGGCAGCAGCUUCAGAGAUCCCAGGGCACACGUACAUGCCCUGGAAGUUGCCGACGAAGGCUUGGACCAGGUCGUCCCAAUUGGAGAUCUGCCCCGGAGGCAGAUGCUCCAGCCAGGCUCGAGCGGUGUCGGAGAGGAACAGGGGGAGGUUGCGGAUGAUGAGGUUGUCAUCGUCCGUUCCACCCAGCUGGCAGGCCAGUCGGUAGUCCGCGAGCCACAGUUCCGGCCUCGUCUCCCCCGAGUACUUUGUGAUGGUAGUCAGGGUUCGGAACCGGGUAAGGAACGGCGCCCGUUGUAUGGCCCGGCUGAAAGCCUGCAGACCGGGUGGUUCAGGCGAGGGGCUCCGAUCCUCCCCGCUGUCGUAGCGUCCCCCAUGCCUGGGGUGGUAGCCUCGGCGCACCCUCUCGUCGAGGUGGGCUCGACGGUUGCGGUGGUGGUGCUCGUUGCCGAGGCGACCCGGGGCCGCAGGCGCCGUGUUGCACGUGCGCCCGGUGUGGACCGAGGCUUCCCGCACGAAUCGGGAAGUCGCGGCGCGAUGCUCCGAGGGGUACCCCUGCCUUCGGGAGGCAGAGCUUUCGGCCCGUCGGACCGCGGCAUCCUCCAGGAGAUUCUUGAGCUCUCCCUGGAUACGCCGCCCUUCAGUGGUCUUGCUGCUGCAGUCAGGUUCUGGCUGACCCCACUGGAAGCCGGUGGCGGCCUUGCCCUGACAUUGGGCAUCGCGCGGAGUAGUAUUGCUGCUGCAGCCAGGUUCUGGCUGACCCCACUGGAAGCCGGUGGCGGCCUUGCCCUGACGUCGUCGGCAAUGCAGUGCUGGAUGCCCUAGGGUAGAUGACGUGCUUCUCCGGCCGGAGCUUGGUCUGCCCAUUCCUGGCCGAUGUUCCGCCGGAACUGCUCAAGUGUUCCUGCUCCCUCGUUGAGCCUGGCCUGCAUCUCGCGGAUUUGCUUGAGCUGUGCGUCCUGACCCCCCGCAGGGACUGGGACCACAGCUAGCUCCCGAAGGAUGUCAACGCGAGGCGCGGGCCUAGGGGGAUCGCCGUUUUCCAGCAUACCAAGAUGGUUGCCUUCGCCGAGACCCCCUAGAUCGACGUGGAAACAUUUACGACUUGGGCCGCAGUCUUCGUCGCCGAAGCUGCGGCUACCAUCGGAACAAUCGGAGAGGCAGUAGUCGCACGCGGUCAUGAAGUCCCGCAUGGCACUGGGGUUACCGAGCCCGGAGAAAUCCCAACAAAAGUCGGGCUCGUCAUCUUCCUCGGAACCCGAGGGUCCGUAGGUCGAGACAGCCGUCAGUCUGUCCCAGGGCGACCACAUAUGAUACCCUGGAGGGUUGGUACAUGCCUCUAUGAAAGCUUCCACCGAAGCGAGGUCGCUUGGUGGGUCGAAGCUGAAUCCAAAAGGCACGAGAUGGGAAUCGGUCAGUACCUCUUGGUCGACAGGCGGCGGCGAAGUCGCGUCAGGGGCGGACUGCACCGUUGUCUCAGGUACGAGGGCGACGCCCAGCAAGUCCUUCGCGAGCGUGCUGGCGUCGUUCGUCUGCUUGGGGUUGGCGUGUUGCGGGGAAACGACGCUCGUCUUCGUCUCAGACGCAAGGUCGAAGCCCGACGUGUCCCCCGCUGGGGCGCCGGCGUCGUCGACUUGCUUGACAGCCGACGAGGUGCCGCCUCCUGCCUGCCCAUGGUUGCCCCGCCUCCUCCUCCGUCGGUGGGGGAGGUGACAGGACAAACCCGGAUGUUGUUCUUCCGCCAUGUGGGGAAGACGUCGUUGACUCCGCCGCCGGCGGGCUAGCUGACGGCCGCCAUUGUCGCUGUCGCGCGGCGGAGGAAGGAAUAUCAUGUCGUAGCUGCCAUCGAGGGACAUGAACUCAAGACUCCCGAAACGGAGCAUCGUCCCGGGUUGGAAAGGUUGCUGGAGACUACCCAUCUGGAGCUUGACGGGAAGCUGUUCGUCAACACGCAACAGGCCCCUACCUGGCGCGCCAACUGUCGGCAUUUCGACCCCAGGGGGUCCCUGGACCGACGAGUAAAUUGUCGCUGCGUGUCCCAGCCCAGAUGGGUCAGCACGAGACGGGACAUAAAGGGGGGAGAACAGUAAGGGGAAAUCGCGACCUUCGUGUUGUCCUGCGCCCAGGACGGAUGUAUGCGCUUGAAGUAGGGGGUUACAAGCGUUCGCGUGGGAGAGAGAGAAAGCGAGAGCCUUAUGCGUCGGCCCAUUCUCCCGCGUGGCCAACCUUCUCGUACGAGAGCCCUGGACCUUCCUUUUAUAGGCGUAAGGAGAGGGUCCAGGUGUACAAUGGGGGUGUAGCAAUGUGCUAACGUGUCUAGCAGAGAGGAGCUAGAGCCCUAAGUACAUGCUGUCGUGGCAGUCGGAGAGGUUUUGGCACCCUGUUCAUGUGAUGUCGUGGUCGUCGGAGGAGCGCUUGGGCCCUGUGGAAGGACAGCUGUCGGGGCUGUCGAAUCCUUGCUAACGUCUCCUUACUUCCGUAAGGGGCUGAGAGUCACCGUCGUCAUGGAGCACGCGGGGCGCCAUCAUUAUUUGUUUACCGGGGCAAGCCAGAUGGGACGCCGGUCUUGUUCCCCGUAGCCUGAGCUAGCUAGGGGUAGGGUAAUGAUGGCCCCCUAUGACGUGGUCGGUCCGAGCCCUAGGUCGGGCGAGGCGGAGGCUCCUCCGAGGUCGAGGUCGAGUCCGUCUUCCGAGGUCGAGGCUGAGUCCGAGCCCUGGGGUCGAGCGAGGCGGAGUCCGUCUUCCGAGGUCGAGGUUGAGUCUGAGCCCUGGGUCGGGCGAGGCGGAGACCGUCUUCCGAGGUCGAGGUUGAGUCCGAGCCCUGGGUUGGGCGAGGCGGAGACCGUCUUCUGAGGCCGAGGCUGUGUCCGAGCCCUGGGGUCGGGCGAGGCAGAGUCCGUCGUCCAGCGUCGAGGUUGAGCCCGAGCCCUGGGGUCGGGCGAGGCGGAGCUUCCUAUGGCGCCCGAGGCUGGACUUAGCUGCUGUCAGCCUCACUCUGUCGAGUGGCACAGCAGUCGGAGCGACGCAGGCGGCGCUGUUUUCUUGUCAGGUCGGUCAGUGGAGCGGCGAAGUGACUGCGGUAACUUCGGCUCUGUCGACUGAAGAGCGCGCGUCAGGAUAAGGUGUCAGGCGAUCCUUGCAUUAAAUGCUCCUGCGAUACGGUCGGUUGGCGUGGCGAUCUGGCCAAGGUUGCUUCUCUGCGAAGACUGGGCCUCGGGCGAGCCGAAGGUGUGUCCGUUGCUUGAGGGGGCCCUCGGGCGAGACGUGAAUCCUCCGGGGUCGGUUGUCUUUGCCCGAGGCUGGGCUCGGGCGAGGCGAGAUCGUGUCCCUUGAGUGGACUGAGCCUUGACCUUAAUCGCGCUCAUCAGGCCUUUGCAGCUUUGUGCUGAUGGGGUUACCAGCUGAGAUUAGGAGUCUUGGGGGUACCCCUAAUUAUGGUCCCCGACAUGUAGACGUUGUGUACAACACAGAAAGGUAAACAGUGCAGCUAGAACUUCAAAUCACUACCGGAAUCCGAGGCUUUGCCGAGUGCCUUUUGUCGGGCACUCGGCAAAGACAGCUUUGCCGAGAGCCACACUCAGUAAAGUUAAGCUCUCGGCAACGAGCCUCUUUAUCGAGUGCUGGACACUCGGCACAGGACCCCACUCGGCAAAGACACAUUUGCCGAGUGUUUAACACUCGGCAAAGGCAGCGCUCGGCAAAGGGCCGUCAGCGGCCGUCCCCGAGCUGACGGCCGUCAGUUUUUGCCGAGAGCCGUGGGUUGACACUCGGCAAAGAGUCUUCUUUGCCGAGUGUCUUCUCUAGACACUCAGCAAAGUAUAUUUUUGUUUUUUUAUUUUGUCUCCCAAACUUUUUGUGGUAUGUUCCUACACUAUGUAGACCUACAUGUAUCAUUUGUGGACAAUUAUCACUAUGUUUGCAAUAUCUAGUAGAUUUAGUUCGUUUAUUUGAAUUUCUUCGGAAAUUCAUAUUUGAACUGUAGGUCACUCGAAACUUGGAAAACCGUGCAUGCAAAAAUGAUAUUCAUGUUACUUACCAUAAGUUACGGCAGAUUCCAGGAGCGUACCGGAAACUUCGAGCAACAUGCUCACUAAACAUGGCCGUGAACUUGCCAUCCACAUGUUUAAAAAUUGUAUAAAACACAAACAAAGUCAGAAAAUCAUGAAACUUGUCCACUUGUCAUGAUAUCAUAUGUACAGACUAUGAUAAAAAUUUUAGAAUGUUUGGAGAAAGUUGUGAGACACAAUAUGUAGAAACCUAAGAGAUCUACAUUGAAACUCUAUGAUUUCAUGUGUAGUUCUCUUAGGUUUCUACACAUUGUGUCUUACAACUUUCUCUAAACAUUCUACAAUUUUUAUCAUAGCCUGUACAUAUGAUAUCAUGAUACGUGGACAAGUUUCAUGAUUUUCUGACUUUGUUUGUAUUCUAUACAAUUUUUAAACAUGUGGAUGGCAAGUUCAUGGCCAUGUUUAGUGAGCAUGUUGCUCGAAGUUUCCGGUACGCUCCUGGAAUCGGUCGUAACUUAUGGUAAGUAACAUGAAUAUCAUUUUUGCAUGCACGGUUUUCCAAGUUUCGAGUGACCUACAGUUCAAAUAUGAAUUUUCCGAAGAAAUUCAAAUAAACGAACUAAAUCUACUAGAUAUUGCAAACACAGUUAUAAUUGUCCACAAAUGAUACAUGUAGGUCUACAUAGUGUAGGAACAUACCACAAAAAGUUUGGGAGACAAAAUAAAAAAAUACAAAUGUACUUUGCCGAGUGUCACUUGGUGACACUCGGUAAAGUAUACUUUGCCGAGUGCCGCCCAGGUAGGCACUCAGCAAAGAAGUGUAAAGUAUACUUUGCCGAGUGUCGCCGAUCUGACACUCGGCAAAGCUUAUUUAAAAAAAAUCUUUGCCGAGUGCCAGAUCGCGGGCACUCGGCAAAGAAGUAAAAUAUACUUCGCGCCCGGGUUCUUUCUUCUUCUUUCUCUCCUCUCACUCUCUCUGUUUAACCGCCGCCGCCUAAUUCGCCGCGCCGCCGCCGCCACGCCGCCGCCGAUGUGCCGCCCGCCCGCCCGCGCAAGCCGCGCCCGCCGCGCGCCGCCGGCUCGCCGUGCCACCGCGAGCGCCGCUCGCCGCGCCGCCCCACCGUCGUCCUGCCGUACGCCACCGUCUCCCCCACCCGUCACCGUCUUAAGGUAUAAUUUUUUUUAAAUUAUGUAUUAAUUUUUAUAUUAAUGUAUUUAUGUUUUAUAGAUUAAUGUAUUGAUGUUUUAAAUAUUAUGUAUUUCAUAAACACAUGUUUAUAUUAUGUUUUAUCCUAUCCACCACGCCGUCACCGACCCUCACACAACACACUCCCACAACACACUAUCACAUUCUAUCCAUCACGCCGUCACCGACCCUCACCACGCCACUCGCACAACACACUCCCCAUCCUAUCCACCACCGCACCGACCUUCACCACACCAACGUCUACAAUUCCUCGUCGUCGUGCCAUUGAUUUGAAUAUAUAUAUAUAUAUAUAUAUAUAUAUAUAUAUAUAUAUAUAUAUAUAUAUAUAUAUAUGAUUGCCGGCCAUCGUGCCGUUGAAUUAUUAGUGGAAGACAGCCAUCGUGCUGAUACUUUUAUUUGCAGGAUUUCGAAACCUCCCCGUGCAGGGGAGGUGCUGCCGAAAUUUUCGGUUGCUAGGCUUCUGUUAGAGGAUGGAGAACCGUGAGUGGAUGUACACGGGCCGUAGAGGAAGAAACAAUGUCACCACUGAAUGGAUUAGAUAGACCGAUGAUUUCGUGGAACAGGCAUAUGGCGAAGCUGCUAAAGGAGCGAGUCUAGUCCCAUGCCCGUGCAGCAAAUGUGCCAACCGGAAAAGAAAACCAAAGAAGGCCAUGGUAGAACAUAUUUGGAAGAAUGGAUUUACGUCGGGCUAUACUCGGUGGAUAUUUCAUGGUGAAGCGCAUCAUACGAGAGAGGAGGUGUUGAGACAACGUGUCGAGGAUUAUGACGCGGAUGCGGGGGUAGCAGAUAUAUUGAACGACUAUCAGGAGGCAGAGUACACGGGAGGAUGUAUGGAUGACGAGCCAGAGCCGACUGCAAAGGCAUUCUACGACAUGUUCGACGCGGCACAGAAGCCCCUUCACAGCCAGACAAAGGUUUCUCAACAGAAGCCCCCUCAAGUGACGAGACAGACACAUUCUAAUCUUGGGAUAGUCGAAAUUCGACAAGAUUCCACCUUAGCAGGAGACGAUGUCUAUAUCGUGGCCCAACAGGCCACACAAGUGUAUUAUCUCCCAUAUGCGUGUCAAACGAAAGAACAUCUUAAGGGUUGGGAUGUUGUGUAUAAGGUAUCGCCGCACGGGAGGUUACCUGUUUCUAACGAUGAAGAUUACAACUUAGACCCGGACACAUAUGAUGGAGAGUUCUUCCAAGAAGAUGGGCUAGAAGGGCGAUUUGAGAUAGACUUAACUGAAGCUAUCGGAAUGGACGUAGAUAUUGAAAUGGUUGUUGAUGAGGAGGAGGAUGAGGUGCAAAAUGAUAAUGACUUAGUAAUCCUUGAAGGCAAUGACAUUAAUGACGAGGUUGCGUCUUCCGAUGGUGUUGAGAUUGAAAUGCUUGAUAGUGAUGAUGAGAGUUAUGAUCCGGCUAACCCCGACACAUAUGAAGAUUAUUUUUAAUCGAUGUAAUGCUAUAUGACUUUUUAUUUCACACCUAUUUUUAAAUACAUCUUUUUUAUAUGUGCUUAUUUGUUUACUCUUAAUUGCAGGUUGUUGGACAAAUAUGGUGGGUGGUUGGCUGAGUAGGAGGAGGGGGAGGAGGCGUAGGACGGCGGACGAGGCAGAGCAGGCAGCGCAGCCUGACGAGGCAGAGCAGGCAGCACAGCAGCAGGCGGCGCCUCAGGACGACGACAACCAGCAGCAGGACGACGACGACCAGCAGCAGGACACCUCAGGUUCAGGCGGCUCUAGUUCGAGGAGCAUCUACCUGCGAGGCCUCGCGAGUCUCCCUCAGCGUCCCAUACUUCGGGACAGGCGGCCGCUGAUUCGGCCGGAAGGGGAGAGGUAUGUAACUUUAUGUUCUUCAUUCUUGUUCAUAUUAUGUGUUCAAAAUCAUAAUAUAAACUAAUACUUUUUAUUUAUCACUUGGACAGGUCUUGGACGGUUUUGGAUUAUGCUGGGGGUCAUCGUCGCCCCCCCAAUGGCAUCCUUGGUCUGAUGUGCAGGGAACACUUCCCUGGACUUGUGGAGUACGCCGGAGUGACGGGCCCAGCCUUCACCUUCGACCUCUACGCCAUCGCCCCCGAUGCAGUAGACCGGGACGGCAAGGAAUUCAAUAACAAGGCGGAGCGGGUGAAGCAAGAGCUGUGGGUAAGUCUGAGUAUAAUGUAAAAUAUGUCGCAUUCGUUGCAAGUUCUUGAAAUAAUGUAUGGAUACAUCGUUUUUGUAUGCAGGAUUUCUUCAGAUGCGAUGCUGGAUAUGAAGCUAGGGCGGAUGUGGUGGCCACCACGAGCUGUAAGAAGCUCAUCGUGGACAUGCACUAUGAGACCCGCAUCCAGGCCAUCAUCACCUACCACGGCUCCGUCCUUGGGGAGAGGGUGACCAAACCUCAAGCCCGAACCAUGUCGUUGACCAGGGAGCAGUACCUGCAGGUAAAGUCAUGCAUGUUUGGUACCAGUACUCCAUGCAUGAAUUUUAUUUUAUCUUCUGAUAUGCACUUUACGUGUAUACUUUGUAGAUGAUUCCACAUUGGUGCGCCGCACAUCCUCUGUGCUGGGAGCAGAUGGUGGAUAGGUGGUGUUCGGCUGAGUGGGACGAGGCGCACACCGCUAGCCGGGAACGGCGUUUGAUGAUGCAAGGCCCCUCCCACCACCAAGGCAGCCGGAGCCUGGGCCAAUAUGCCGAAGCAUGGGUACGCCAUCGUUUUUAUUUAGAUAUAUAGCACUGAGUUAGAUAUUAUUUCUAACUAUCUCGUUGGUUUUCGUUGCAGUCGGCGUCACAUGGUGGCCGGCCUUGCUCCACCUUCUCGGCCUAUGCUAUGGCCCAUAAGGGUAAGGCGACGCCCGACGUCACCUACAACCCGGAUGACGGGACCGAGGCCUACACCAACCCCGCCAUCUACAACCGCCUCCAUGACAACACCGCCAUGGCGCAGGAGGUCCAUGGCCCAGACUAUGAUCCGAGCACCGAGCCGAUCGACCCCGAUGUGCUCAUGAGGGUCGGAGGAGGCAAGAGACAUGGGCGGUACUAGAUUGCCGAUGGGGCAAUCGACUCGUCCUCCACUCCCACUCUGUCUCAGGUGAGAGCAAGGAGCACGGGCUCGAGUCUAGCCAUACGACCUCGGCACGACAGCUCACAGCAUCGCAUAUAGCAACUCGAGGUUAGUGCUUCUGUAACUCGUCCUUUCUUGAGUUAUAUACCUUCUCUUUGAGUUACUAUAACGUUGGCUUGUAAUAUUACAGACCCAACUAGAAGAAGAGAGGAGGGAACAUCAAGAGAUGGAGGCGAGGAUAAUGGCGGAGCGGGCGACGGCUGAUCAGAGGAUGGCGGAGAUGUUCUAGUACAUGCAAAGUCUUGGCGCCGCACAGGGCAUCGCUCCGCCACCUCCAUUGUUCCCUGCAGUUGACCCUGCUCUCUUCCACACUCCUGUGAGUAUCAAAAUUGUAGUUAGAUGUUUGUAAUGCAUCUGGUAUAACACAUGCAAUCUCUUCUCUGUGCAGGGCCAAUCUGGGGCGGCAUCCAACAACCCUCCGGAAGGGUUCAGCCCAACGCAGCCCCGGUCAAACCGCCCACCUCCAUGAGUGUUGUGUUUUCAUUUUUUUAGACUUCAGAACUUAUGUAUAAUACUUAUGUCUGUGUUUGAUACUUAUGUGAGAGCUUGCGACGUUUGAGACUUAAGUUUGUGUUUGAUACUUGUGUUGAACACUUAUGUUUGUGAUGGAUAUUUAUGUUUGUGGUGACGGUUUUAUGUUUGUGUUGGCUAUUUAUGUCUGUGAUGAUAUAUGUGAUGUAUAUAUGUGAUAUAUAUGUCAUAUCUUCUGUUUGUGUGGAUGGAAUACAAAAACAAAUAAAAAAGGUAUAUACCGGUCACUUUGCCGAGUGUAACACUCGGCAAAGAGGCGCUUUGCCGAGUGUCAGGGUCAUAACACUCGGCAAAGAGCCAAAACCUGGGCACCGGUUUAGGUAUUUUGCCGAGUGUUAUGUCGCUGGCACUCGGCAAAGAGGCAGGCUUUGCCUAGUGCCGCGCAGAGCACUCGGCAAAGAGCCUGACAUGGGGACCCUCCCUGGCGGGUUCUUUGCCGAGUGUCCCAGGUGGGUAGACACUCGGCAAAGGUGACGCCUUUGCCGAGUGUCAUGUUUGACACUCGGCAAAGAAGCCGUCUCCGUUACCUCGUCGCCGUAACGACCACUUUUCUUUGCCGAGUGCUCCCUGGCACUCGGCAAACCUCUUUGCCGAGUGCCCGAGAAAAAGUACUCGGCAAAGAAGGCUUUGCCGAUGUACUAUUUGCCGAGCCUUCUUUGCCGAGUGUUUUUAAGGCUUUGCCGAGUGUUUCGGGCACUCGGCAAAGGGCCCGUUUUCGGUAGUGAAUAGACUAAACCUUCACUAUAUGAUUAAAAUAUCCUACUAUUAUAUUGGAUGCACGAAUACUUCUAAACAUCACAUCCAAACUUCAAUAAACAAAGCAUAUUCCUCACUAUUUUGUAUGUAAAUAUUAUGUGUGCCUUCUUCUAACCUUACCAUCGAUAUCUAUGUAUUGUCAUUAAUAUAACCAUCUAUAAACUCAUCCGUUGCUACAACAGAUUCUCAUGUUAUGCAUUUAAAAUCAUUUGGUUCGGUACGGUGAAAAUAUAUAACAUAAAAAAGUUAAACUUUGAUGUCGGAUUCUCAUGAUAUGCUAUACUUUGACAUCCAGUUGACUUGUAUAUAUACUAGUUAUGUGCCCGUGCGUUGCUACGGAAGUAAAAAAAUUGUAUGAAAUAUAGAUACGAAAAGACAAGCAUCAAUGUGAUAUGCAAAAUAAGUGUGGUAAACAUUAUCAAUAUUGCACAAAUUACUUGUAAAGAGUCAAUAUAGAAUUUUUAAUGAUAGACAAAUAAAGUCGUUGUCAAAAAGCUUAGCAAUUGUCACAUUUAUUCAAGUGAUCUAGGAGUAUAGAAACGAAGACAUUCUGAUCACAGAAACCUAGUCAUACUUUUUGGUUUCUGUAGUCAUGAAGAUGAGAAAUCACUUAACUUGGAGUACUUACCUAACAAAAGCUUACAUUAUGUAUUAAAUAAGUUAGACCAUCAAAAUCACGGUAAACUGCAGCACAAGGUUUUUUUAUUUGCAAAACAAAAAACAUGUAGAUAAAACAAUAAUACACUAAUACUAUCAUUUUCAAUUUUCAAUGUGGAAAUAAUGUUACAGGAUCAUAGGGCCAGCAUGGAUAUGAAGCAAUCUGGUCUUGACUGAAGCUAAAUCCAAUGUAUAUUGGUCUUGACUGAAGUUGAAUCCAUUGUAUUUGUUCAGUAACAGGCUAUAUUUAUCUUAUAAACAUGUCACAGUUGAUCACUAUAUUUAUCUUGAAUAAUCAAGAUGUGAUUAAGCUCUAAUACCAGCAACAACGGCCACAUUUUAGUCUCUUUAAACCGGGUAGAAUCGACCAACAUAAAUGAACAAAGUGCAUAUGUCAAUUGGCCUACUUCUGUACAACAGUGGUGAUGUUGAGUGCCCUCAGGGUGAUCCUAUCCAAUAGCUCUGCCACUCACACCAGGACCCAUCAGUUUUUUAAGAGUGAUCAGCUGCAAUAUUCCAACAGGCAGGAUGAGAAGAAAAACACGAGGAACAAAUAAUUUUCUAGCAAGUGCAUUCAUUUAGAAAUGGUCAAUGAUUAGGUAUAUAGUUGAAACAUCCAGAUUCCUGGUAACAAAGUAGCCGAGUAAUGAAAGGAGCAAAAAUAUUUAUAAGCAUUGUGUACAGUUUGAAACACUUGUACAAUACAGCUAACAAGGGAACCGAGUAAUGAACAUUUACUUUAAAUAGAUUGCUGGUAAUUGAAGGCAUGCUCAGUUGCUCACCACACCUCUGCUCCUUUUGUGGAGCCAAACAGCACAGGAAUUGCAGCAAGCGAAGCCUGUUCAUGGCACCAAAAAAUAUGGGGGCAAGUUAGCACCUUUUUGUGCAUUAAUUUGCAAGAGAAGGCACAAAUUUAUAGUACAAAAAAUUCACACAGAUGUAGAUAUAAAUAAGAAAGCCUAAGAAACAUGAUGAGCAUUUAACUGACAUGAUCACUACUCAUCUUUUAAUUCACGGUGAUCCCUAUUAUUAUAUAUAGACUGAGAUAGCAUUACUCAUAUUUUUCGGAGAGAACAGCCAUGUGGAGUAAGAUGAUUUAUUGUGCAUCCAUGUGGAGUAAGAUGAUUUAUUGUGCAUCCAUGUGGAGUAAGAUGAUUUAUUGUGCAUCCAUGUGGAGCAAGAUGAUUUAUUGUGUGGUGUGAUAUCUGCUCAGAACAAUAAAGAAAAUAUGAGUAGUUGUUCAUCACAAGUUACCUUCAAUUUUGCUGUUCAAGGUAUUGUUCUUCAAGAUCACAUGGGCCUUCUUUCUGCCAGAACCUGUAGAGGGAUUUAUGUUUCGCAAACAAGUUAGAAAAACAUAUUCGUAACUAAUUACACAACUGACCAUUUCUAAUUAAUAGGCAUGAAGAUCACGAAAAGCAAAUCUGAAACAUUCAAGACUAAAGUUGCUAACUGCGCAGAGCAUGUCGGUUGAACAAACAGAAUGGUCCUUGCGGUUUGGGAUGGAGAUCCAAAUUAAUGGCCUGUUAAGUAGAUAUUAUUUAGCAGUACCAAAACUGUAGUAUCAAGUGACAAAAGGCUUUUAUAGACCAAAACAACAUUACCAAACUAUGGAGCUAACUGGUUGUACGGACCAAAGCAACAAUAACCAAAGAAUGAGACAGAGAUAUUUUUUGCAUUCCAUCAUGAGAAGCUAACCAGUUUGAUAUAGUUGUGAAAAUCGCAGUCAGUAACCAGAGAAAUGUAUUCAUCCAACAUAUAUGGCGAUCUGUGCUAUGUGGGUGCAGGGCGAUGCGAUCUUAUGAGUAUGCGUGGUUAGUGACUGGGAUUUUCACAUCUAUAUCAAUUGCUUGCCCCACUAAUGAUUAGCCAGGGUCAGGUAAACCAGAUUGUGUAACCAUUACUGUAACACUGCAAUCAUUUUCUAAAUAAUACUUCUAUAAAUCCCAAACCGAAGGUAUACAUACACAACAAUUAAACACCGGCUUCAUCGCAGUACCAAAACAACAGUACCAAGUGAACAAAAUAGCAGUAAUUUGAUGACUGGUGGUAACUAUGAGAUUGUGAUUGUAACACAAAUAAACACUCCUAUAUUUUUGCAUGUGUCCCAAGAUUGCAACCAGAUUUGUACAAAUAAACAGUAUGCCCCAAAUAAACAGCUAGAAGACCUAUGGUCCUUGGAUGGCCAGCAUCAUGCGGCGGACGGUGGGCGUCAUCCGGAGCAAGAUCUUGCGCCGCACACUCAUCAAUGAUGACGCGCCAGCCCGCCUUUUGAGUACAACCUUGUGCAUGGAUCACUAUCGAGAGAACUGGUUCAUUUUCUAUUCAGCUACAUUGACUCGAUGUUUUUGAUUCAUGGACUGCCAUGGCCCUUGAGGCAUAGAUUCUAUUAGUGAGAGUUGAGACAGAGGGUACAAAUAAAUAGAAGCCAAAAGCACACAAAAUAAGAAACACAUUUUGAACAAAAGCUCAACCAGGAGACUGACGUGCUGAUCGUAUUUACUACUGCCACCAUAGAUUUGUUCAAGACAAUGGGGGAGAGCAUUGUUAACUGUCAAUCUCAAUAAAUCUGUCAUGAGAUACCUAUUGUAAAAUCAAAAUAAUAACCAGCAAUGCCUAGAUUAUCAGCAAUGAAGUCAGGCUUGAUGAUUAUUUUGUGUUCUGCAAUAGCAAGCACUCAUUUAAAGUGUCAGUGCAUAGGAAUCAUAGUGUCUAUGCACCAUAAGGGAAAAAACAUAACACAAACAGAGAAGAUUCAGGCGCCUAAAAGAAAUGAAGACGUGCAAGAACGGUGUACCUGCUUGGCCGUCUUUCCUAGCGAUGCGAAGAACACGCAGCACCUGCUCAUUAGCUAAAAAAUAGGCAAAUGUGAAGAUAGAUGCCAGGGGCUACUGGGGCGGGGCGAUGGCGGCAACAGCACGGCGCGUGCCGCGUGCGGACGAUGGAGGGGCAAUACCGCAGUAGAUGGCCAGAGCAGGCGGGAGCACUUUUUGUGAAGAUAGAUCCCUUGUCAUUUUUGGACUUCCAGCUACCCGUGCCCCUCCAGCCAUCUACUCACCUACUCCAGGCCUCCAGAUGCGACGGAACCAAAUCAGAACGACAUGAACCAAUUCCAAUUCAUCCAUCCAAUCCAGGUGUCGAUGGUGCAUAGGAGUCAGACACGAGAGCGGGCAGCGAGGAGGAGUGUCGUACCUUCACUUAUUGCAGAGCAGGGCAAAGCCUCCAGAUCGCAGUGGCCAACCCUUCCUCCAAUCCCCACCCGCCCCCACCACUAACGGCGGCGGCGCGCCGCAGACCAGAUUCGUGCACCUCUUGGUCGCAGCCGCCGGAGCCAUGGUGGACCUAACACAGGUCCUGCACCCCGCCCCUAGAGUCCGCGCGUGAUGUCGUGUGCCUUGUUGAGGUUGAGCCAGUGGAGCACAGCCCGUGCGCAAGCGUCCCUGACGGCGAUGUAGCCGUGGCUGUCCCCCACGGCGAGGCAGAGCGGACGGCAGUCGUCGUCGUCGUGUCGUUGAGGGAUGGCGUGUCGGGGGGCGUCCAACGGACGACGGUGACAGAGGUGGGGAGGAUAAGGGAAUGAGGAGAACGUAGAUCUCGUAGCGAGGAUGUCGAUCAGGUCCGAGUCGUUGAGAGCCACAACGGUGGCCGUCGACGACCGUGAGCUGGAGCCGACUACCGUCCUUGGAGAAGUGCACGUUCUCGACCUUGCCGCGCUUGACGGCGGACGGACAAGAACUUGGUGUAGCGCUUGUGCGCGCCCUCGGGGAGGUCGGAGGCAUACGCAAAUGGCUUUAAGGCAGUGAGGAUGGAGCUCGGGUGCCGGCGCGGGGGCGGGGGCUGAAGCCACGAGCGCAUGCAAAUGGGAUGGGGGCGACGGGGUAGGGGCGACGAGUCGUAGCGGGGUCUGGGCGCCGCGGGGAAGGAGCGUGUUGUGGGGACUGCAGAUGAGGCAGGGCUGGAUUUGCGCGCCGCGGACAUAUGGGCGACGGCGCGCGCGUGGCUAGGAGCGGGGGCAUGGUGAGGCUGUGGACACCCAGUCCGUACAUAUGGUGUAGUAGAGAUAAGGAAUGGGAGCCAUGAUUAGAUGGAAUAUCCUAGAAAGAGCAGGCAUGAUGGAUCAUCUAGCUUAUUGCUUUCCUGUGACUGCAAGUACCACCAGUGGGGAAAAUCUAACUUGAUCCUCACAACGAAUCCAAUUGAUGAGUCUUAUGGGUCGUCUAAAGCUGGUUAGAAGUUGCAUUUUGCAGAAAUGCUCCAUAAAAAACAUAGCAACUCUCCACCGUGUAAUGGCAGUCUAAAAAGCAUUAUUGUGGUGGCAGUAGUGAGCAGCUACAGUUAUUGUGGACGCUACGAAGUGUUCCCUACCUUGCACAUUCACAACAGUAAUCAUUCUAAUAGGAUAUAUCCAUAACUCAUGAGCAAAGCAAAAAUAUGAAAUUGAGCCAAGUUUGCAGUUUUACUGUGACCGAGCAAUCGAAAACGGGAGACGAAAAAACAAGCAGCUGACCUCCAAGAUGGCUGUUGUCUGCGCGAACUGCAGCGGCCUCGACGACGGUAAUCAAAGAAAUAAUAAAACAAGAUGCAAUGUGCUUUGGGGAAUGGUGAAGCAACCUCAAACAAAUAGAACCUUGCCAUCAGAAUCUUCUUCUAAGCACUCAACACCAAUCAUGUCAUCCCCUGCAUUCAACACCUGUUGGUAGAGGUGAAUGGGGCCAUCUGCACACGAUUAGUAAUAGCCAACAAAACCACGACCAGUGGAUACAAAAAUACCCCCACCUUGCUCAAGAGCUCAAGCUGUUCAUCAAGUAUGUAAAAGCUCACAUUAGGUCCUUCUUCAAGCGUCGGCAAAUUCUCGAGUCAGUCGAUCACCUGUUACAGAUCAGUGUACAGCUAGCACGAUACAUUGGACUUUAUGGCAAGAACAUAACAUCAACAUCCAAUUGCAGGUCCAGAAAUAUAAUAGAAUGACUAAUUGUCAUUAUUUUAUACUCUUGUUAGCAUUUUUUAAAUGUUAAAUAGGUUUAUGUACCUUAAAAAUAUAUAUGUAUGUGCCCAUACUUCCGUAUGGAAACUAAAAAGAAAAUUACUAAAUUCAUAUAAAUAUUAAAAAAAUAGAUAAAAAGUAUCAUAGAAAAGGCAUAGUAAUCUAUUACACUGUUCUAGAGGAUGCAUGGAAGCACAACACAUGACAUUUAUUUUUCAAAUCACACACGUGUCAACAAAAACAACAAAACAAGAUGCUUGUAGCAUAAAAUUUAAGUUAAAUUGUGGAAUGCAAGCAAGAAACCACAUUUGAGAACAAGGGAAACCAUGCUAUAAUUAAUAGUACAAUGCCCGAUAUUUGAUAUCUAUAAAAAUAAAUCUAAUAUCAAGUGAACAUAUGGUACAUAUGUUGUAGAGAUACAUGUAGAGUAUUUCUUCACCUUUGAACCAACGACAACUAUCUCAUAUAGGCUCUACAAUUUUUUAACAUACACCAACUAUACAAACAAGUAACUUAAAGAAGGUGGGCAGGUAUCACGCAAAGGAUAAAAAUUGAAUACAGAACACGGUAGUUUAUAAAAUAAAUUAUUCUCGUUAAUUUGAAUAGUUUUAGCAAAUUAAGUCCAAUUCCAAAGAACAAAAUUGUCAGUCUCCUUGAGGUCAGACAACUCAUCCCUCACAUGCAGGUCGAUCCGCUCCUCGUCGAUAUUUAACCUCACCCUCCACUGACGCUGCCAACAGACUCCAGCUCGUACAUGGACUGCAGGCUCCGGAGCACUUUAGCAAUGACUAACCCUGCUAUGACAAAGUUAUGGAAUAAUCACUGGUUGCUCGCAACACUUAAGCAAUUUCAACAGUAAGUUGUAGUGUUCAUAAAAAAUACAUUAUGCAUUAUUUUGCAACACUUUAUUGAUCAUGGAAAGGAACACAAAAAAUAAAGUGUCUGAAACAGGAAACAGUUAGAUCCAUCCCAUUGUAUGGGGAGAACAAUAUCAUAUCUUCCUCUAAAUGUUACUGAUGCUAGUUUUGUAUCAGUAGGUGUAUAAGCAUGGAAUCACUUGCGAACUUGAAAGAUAUCAUAGCAUAUGAUAGCAGGGGUGAUUAGAUAGCCAGAUAUUAAACAGGGCAUUGCAUACGAACAUUUCAAGACAUUCUGCUAUGCACUUACAACAUAAAGAACUUGGCCAUCAUCCAUGGUCUUAAAGGACAUGGAGCUUUCUCGAUGCUGCGAAGGAAAAAGUGAGUUGAACUGUUAAUUCCAGCCUAACAAAAUGGAAAUAUAUAGAGAGAGAGUAAUUAUCAACCGUUGUUUAUCACAACAUAUGCUAUCAUAGGAAAAAGCCCAGAACAUAUAAUUGCGGGCAUUGUUGGUCUCCUAGAUGGCAAAAGCCUCAUACAAAAAGAGAAGGUACUACAAAAGGAUAACAAACAUAAUAAAAAUUGUUUUAUUCAUGACUAACCAUUUCAUCAAAUUGAUCAGACUGUAUAGAAUUCCCAACUUGAAGUUCACGGUACUUGGGACCAGGCCUAAGCCCAAGGGCAGCAGCCUUAGAUGGGUCAAACUUUCCCUUAAUUUCUGGCAGCCUUAGAUUAUCCUGGGUGGGCUCUCUAUUCCCUUUGAAAACCAACUUAGAGAUUGGUAAUUGGCAUGCAACAAAUAUGUAUAGAGUUAUUACUAUACUUGCAUGGGCGAAGAAUUGCUGAAAAGAGUGAAGUAUAAACCCAACCUUGAAAGUCAUCAUGUUGAACAAAGAGAUUUUUCCUCCAGAAGCAGACAUGACAUAUGAAUCAUUCUUUGACAAAGCAAAGUAGUGAACAACUUCUUAAAGAUUAUUGUCAGUCGUGUCAUUAGUCAUCAAAAUGCCACUUGUUGGUUGCCAUAGAGUGGGAGAUACACUUGUGGUUGCCUAUAAGAUUGAUGAAUAGCAAAAUUGAACAAUUUAGUAACAAUCUACACAAAAUUUUCGCCUUUGACAUGUAAAGAAGAUGAGCUAUCUGAACACUAUUUAUGCACAUCUAUAUGUACAUAAGAAACAAGUCUCACCUUUCCAGAAUUCCGAUCAUUGAGUGGCCAUUUCUAGAGUAGACGAACAAUGCUUGAAGUUAAAGCCAAGAUCGCAAGACCAGAGUUUGUGUAAAUCAAUCUUGAAAUCUGUAAUUAUAGAGAAAAUUCUUCAAACUACCUUAUGUUAAAAUCAGCACAGUCAUUGCCAAGGAAAAUGGAGAAAUCAAGAUUACAAGUCAUAUAUGAUGUUAUCCAUCCCAUUCGGUUGGACAAGCAUCACAUAUAUUGAACUAAAAAAUCUAAGGUAAAACGCGCAGGCAGGACACACCAAAUGACAAAAAGAGCUAACACACCAAAUGAACCUUUCUGAAAAAUGAAACCAAAGGUUUUUUAGUACACUUUGGCACUGCAAUCACACAAACUUUUCUCCAUAACGAGAAUACAAAGCCUAAUUAUCUCACGAAUGGUUCAUCGUUGAUUAUCUCAGGUUAACAUUUCAAUGAGAACAUAGAGCACAAACAUAUGUGACAAAGGCUCCAUCGUUGUGAUGCAAUUCUCAAAUUACCUCUGACGAAGUCCAUGGCAGACGCCUCAGGAACGUCACGCCCACGCCAGGAGAUGACUACGACGAGCUCGACCUUGUGGUGUAGAGACUUGAGUGGCUCUGGGAUCUCGACGGCGACGGUGGCCACGCCAGCGUGGAGGAACGACGAGGUCGGCUUCAGGAACAGGAUGGGCUCCUGUAACACACCUAAACACACGCAAGGUCAAAUCCAGACUCCAGAGGUAGCAUGGGAAGGAGUGGGGAGGGAAGUUGGAAGCGUGGCAGCAUUUUGGGAUCGAAGAUGGGAGGUGCGCGACUGCAUCUUGGGGACCGGGUUGCCGAGCUCCUGGUCGUUCCUCUGUGGUCCGAUGACCAGGACCGGGAUUGCAUAGAUAGAGAGGAAAUUUAGGGUUAGGGAUUUUGGAAAACUUGAGAAAGAGAUGGAGCGAACAAUAGGAGGGGAACAAGCUGCAGCUCACCACUGUGUCAUUGGCUGCCUUCCUCCGUGGUCCGGCCGCGGGGCAUAGACUGGGGCGCCCUCCACCGUGUCCGUUGUGCUCCCCCGUGGCAAGGAAGUUGGCGCCCCUCCACUGCGUGUAGGGAGCAUCGUGGAGGCCCAAGGCGGACCUCCGUGCGACAAUGGUUGGGGUCGACGGUGCGACAGCUGCGUGUGAGAGAAGGUGUAGCGUGUGAGGCGAGGAGAUCCAAACACGUGCGAGGACCGAGGAAGGGUAGGGGCGUUGCUGGAGAGGGAGCGGUUGCUGUGUGACGCUCGUGCGGAGGAGAGGAUGAGGAGGAGCGAAGCACGAACAGGUCUCGCGGCGGCAAAGGCUUUUGGUUGGGGAUACGAAACAUCUCAGAAUUGCGACGACGGCUGUGCACGGUGAGCUCGACGACGACUCCGUCUUGCCCGCCUCGUGCUCGCGAUGGAUGUGAAGGCGGAGGUCGAAGCGCCUGGGGCAGGGCGUGGUGGAGACGAACCUCCCGCAUCGCUUCGUCAGGUUGGGCACGUCGAGGCCCCUGGAAAGCAACGACCAACGGUCCCCGGGGGAGCGGGAGGGCGGACAAGGAGGCCGACGCGGCGUGGGAUAGGUAAGCAUAGUGGAGGAACGACUGCUUGACAGGGGGAGCAGGACUUGGGAUCCAGGCUGCGGGCACCGCGCCGCCGCCGCUUAGGGUUUUGGAUCCGAAUAGGGGAGGCAAAACAGGGAUCGCGAGCAGGUGUGCAUCGGGGAAGAGGGCGCACACAUCGGACGACAGAGGGACUUUAUGGCGUAUUGGACGGUCCAGAUCGCUGCAAGGCAGAACAUGUCAGAGGCAGCCUACCCCUUAGAGUCUUAAUAGGUAGUAUAGAUACUUCUUGCGGUAUGCUUUGGGUUGGUUCGGAUUUGCGUGGUUCUAUGGGCUGUUCAGAAUUACGACGCCUGGGCUUUGAUGUCGGCCUCAUGGGCCACCAUUUUUCUCGGUGCAGAAAUCCAGCCUUCUAUGGGAUACACGCGUCCCACUUGUCAGUCAGAAACGAUCGACCAAAGAAUCUCUCAUGUCUCAGCUUCCAAACUCCGGGACCCGUUUCUGUAUGGUAUGGAUAAGAGUAUGGACCAACAGCGCACACCCAUUACUCCACGUGGUGCACGUAAUGAUGAACCCUGGCCCGCAGGUCAAUCACGCCGCGAGUAAAAAAAAUAACUUUGGAGAAAAAAUUAUCUCCCACGCAAAAUGCAAAAAACCACACCAAGCCCCCGUUCCCUCCCUGUGCUUUAUUUCGUUUUCGUCGUCCCCGACUCCCCGUACGCGCUCUCGCUCUCCAGGGCCCAUCAUCCACGCCUUAACACCGGCCGCACAAACUAGCGCAGAUCUCCCCCCACUGCUUAAUUCCCUCGUGGCUCGUGCGCGCGCUGCUCGCCAUACACGCUCCAGUAGAGAUGGCAAUGGGGACCCGAUCCCCGAUUCCCCGCGGGGAAUUCCUCCAUUAGGGGAUGGGGAUGGGGAAGAAACUUCCCCCGCGGGGAUAUAAACGGGGAAAAUUUAUCCCCCGACGGGUAAACGGGGAUGGGGACGGGGAAGCAUUCCCCAUCCCCGUUCCCCGCGGGGACCCGUUAAACUUGUACGUGACUAUGUUUUUGUGUACUAGUUAACGACAAAAAUAAAUAAUUACCUUAUCAAGAGACCACUAAUUGUACAAAUGUGUUCAUUUUGAUGUAUGCAUAAUGAUUUCUUAUAUCUGACAAUGUGUAUAAGUGACAAUAUUUAACAUUAAUAGCAAAGUACGUAUGUCUUAAUUGUGAUUUAAACGGGGAUGGGGAUCCCCGUUGGGGAUUUAUCCCCGCGGGGAACAGGGAUGGGGAAGAAAUGCUCCCCGCAAGCGUUCGUGGGGAUCCCCGCGGGGAAGUUUUUUCGUCGUGGGGACGGGGAUGGGGAGCUAUUCCCGGGCGGGGAAUUCCCCGUUGCCAUCCCUACGCUCCAGGCUCUCGUUUCCUGGUAGGCGCUGGUACAAGCGGAAGCAGCAGUAGCGUGAGGCAUCCCCAUGCCGGGGGCAAUCUCUUCCUCGUCGUCGGCUUUUCUCCUCCCCGUCGCGUCCUCCUCGCCGCGGCGCAGGCGGGGCAGUGUGGGUGCUGCUCUGCGCUCGUACGGCUACAGCGGCGCGGAGCUGCGGUUGCAUUGGGCGCGGCGGGGCCCGCCUCAGGAUGGAGCGGCGUCGGUACGCGCCGCAGCGGCACCGGCCGGGGGCGAAAGCGAGGAGGCAGCGAAGAGCUCCUCCUCGUCCCAGGCGGGCGCUGUUCAGGGCAGCACGGCCAAGGUUGAUUUACUCGGAACAUUUAUUAACUCGAUUUUUUCCCGCAUGAAAAAGUACUCCGUAUAAAAUUGCUAUUGGGUUUAUGCACAGCUUGCUUGUCAAAUUCAGCACCAACUCACCGUUUCUGACGGAAAUGCAGCUGCACAUGCAGUUUUAGCCGCUCCUUUCUCAUGAUCAACUACCACAUGUGACACACGCGCUUGUAUAUUUUAGAUGCGGAUCGCUGAACUCUGUACUAGGUGAGCUUCGCUGAUGCUAAGUUUCUAGCUGUGUCCCAAACCUGUUUACUCAGGCUGUGGAUUCUGCUUCACCUCCCAAUCCUUUGACAUCUGCUCCGAAGCAAAGUCAGAGCGCUGCAAUGCAAAACGGAACGAGUGGGGGCAGCAGCGCGAGCACCGCCGCGCCGGUGUCCGGACCCAAAGCUGAUCAUCCAUCAGCUCCUGUCACCAAGAGAGAAAUCGAUGCCAGUGCGGUGAAGCCAGAGCCCGCAGGUGAUGAUGCUAGACCGGUGGAAAGCAUAGGCAUCGCUGAACCGGUGGAUGCUAAGGCUGAUGCAGCUCCGGCUACAGAUGCGGCGGCGAGUGCUCCUUAUGACAGGGAGGAUAAUGAACCUGGCCCUUUGGCUGGGCCUAAUGUGAUGAACGUCGUCGUGGUGGCUUCUGAAUGUGCUCCUUUCUGCAAGACAGGUAGGUUGCAUUUCAGCUGAGUUUCUCCGUCCAAAAUAAGCGACUGCUCUGACAACCGUUGCCGCAUAGGUGGCCUUGGAGAUGUCGUGGGUGCUUUGCCUAAGGCUCUGGCGAGGAGAGGACACCGUGUUAUGGUAUUCAUCUCUUUCAUUUUCGUUAUAUCUAUGCACCCUACGAGAGACAGCAGAUACUGUUUCAGCUGCCAUGCGCCUGAAUGCAGAUUCUGAACUCUUGUCCUUUGCGAAACAUGGGGAAAAAAUUAAGAUCACAUAGUCAUACUUCUGUAACCACAAGUUUUGUCUCAGUGCUCUAAUGUACUUCCACAAAAAAAAGGAGGAAAUUAUAAUUCAUAUAUGACCAGAAAAGUAAUGCAAUUUUGUGUCCUGAUGUUAGGUCGUGAUACCAAGAUAUGGAGAGUAUGCCGAAGCCCGGGAUUUAGGUGUAAGGAGACGUUACAAGGUAGCUGGACAGGUAUGAAAAAAGUGGAAACAAAGUCGCUGUAGAACCGAUCCUGUAUGAAAGAAAGAAAAUAUGCUAGACCUGAUUUUUUUCCUCCUGUGAUUUUCAGGAUUCAGAAGUUACUUAUUUUCACUCUUACAUUGAUGGAGUUGAUUUUGUAUUCGUAGAAGCCCCUCCCUUCCGGCACCGGCACAAUAAUAUUUAUGGGGGAGAAAGAUUGGUAAAUACCAAUUUUGAAGUGCUUUUGCUAACAGUAGAAAAUCAAGUUGGAUGCUUGUCACAUUUAUCUAAACUAUGUCUCUGAAUUUAAUCACCUGAUGGCAGGAUAUUUUGAAGCGCAUGAUUUUGUUCUGCAAGGCCGCUGUUGAGGUACUGCUAGCCAUUGGUUUCUAAGAAAUUCACAAAGUAACAAAAAAAUUAUGAUGGCUUACUGGCUAAUAAGAAGAUAAAUUCAUCGCUGGUAAAUUUUGAUAAGUCAACAGUGACCAGGCCCCAUAGAAUUACACAAUAUACACCCUUCACUGUUUAGUUAAUAUAUUUUUCUUCUACUUUUCCAAGCUGUCUAUGCACCUCAUUGAAUAGUUUGUUAUGACAGACUCAAUUACAGCUCAUAUGGGCUAUAGUUUAUUGUGGGGCGAAUAAAUCUGCAUCAUCCUCUUUUUCAAAGUUAUUUUGAACAUUUGCAGGUUCCAUGGUAUGCUCCAUGUGGCGGUACUGUCUAUGGUGAUGGCAACUUAGUUUUCAUUGCUAAUGAUUGGCAUACCGCACUUCUGCCUGUCUAUCUAAAGGCCUAUUACCGGGACAAUGGUUUGAUGCAGUAUGCUCGCUCUGUGCUUGUGAUACACAACAUUGCUCAUCAGGUUUUGCACCUUAAACUUUGGCUACCCUUUGUUUUUUUCUCUAAAAACUUUGAAAUCACAUGUACUUAUUUUGUUGAUAUCUUUGUUUGUAAUUCUCCUGCAAAAGUUUUCAAGAUUUAUCGACUCAUAGCAUUUAUUGUUUUUUUUAAAGGAAAAAUUCACGACUCAAUAAACCUAAUAGCUUUUUAUAUUUUUAGUUUCUUCCAGUUGUCUAGUGACCCAAAUCAGAUGAAAUGAAACUAUGAAUCUUUUGAAAGGAUAAAAGGUAUUGGUGUAUAAGAAAAGUUACCCAUAUCUCAGACAGGAAUAGGGAUGGCAGUUGGACCCGUGGGUAUGGAUACCCGCGGGUUUCGUACCCACCGGAUACCGGAUAUGGAUACGGGUACAAAAACUCACCCGUGAGUUCUAUCGGGUCGGAUACCCGAAAUACAUCGGGUCGGGUAUGGGUAAAAUACUUUACCCAUGGGUAUCCAGUGGAUACCCGAAAUAUCAAUAUACCUCUUUAAAUGUUCUACAUCCACUAAAAAUGUGCUACAUUCACUAGAAAAACUCACUCGCAUGUGUUGUUGAUUAAUGAAUAUUAAUUUAUGUUGUGUUAACAGUCAACUAUAAUGUAAUCGAGACCAAUGAGACAUUGACAAUGUUAUAACUGUCAACUGUCAUGAACUUAUUAAGCUUUUAUUCUCUUUACUCAAAUUUAAAUUUAUUGGAUGUGAUAAUUAUAAGUUGAGAUACUGUAUCGACGUGUAGCCAAAUAUAGUCAUUCUCGUGUUGCAUUGGUGCUUAGAUGUAAACUAAAAUAUUUUAUGUAUUUAUUAUAACACUGACCGAAUGUUAUUUAGUCUACACAAUAACAUAUCCACUGGAUACCCGAUACCCGGUGGAUACCCGAUGGACAUAGAUACGGGUACAGUUUCUCGCUCGAUUGGCUUGGUGGGCAUGGAUAUUUGUAGAAGUCUCGGGUAUAAUUUCGGGUCGGGUAUUGUUAUACCCGAACAAAACCCGACCCGCUGCCAUCCCUAGACAGGAAUGUUACCCAUGUAAGGAAAUGCUUUUGUGAUAUAUUCUUAGGAAUACUUGUGCUAGAUAUGUAAAAUUGUUACUUUUAGGCGUCAGUUCUUUGCUAUUUUGAGGGAUUGAUUAGGUUGUUUCCUAUUUUCAGCACUAGUUCUUUGCUACUUGGAGGCAUCAAUUUGGUCCUUUAGCAUUUUCAGGUUUCAUUUAGGUGCCGUUUGGUUCACAUAUUUGUAACGUAAUGGAUAAGUGAUAACGUUAAAUCAUGUUUGUUUUAGUCCAACCGUAAUCAGAUACCAUACUAAAAAUUGAUACCGAACUAUUCAAACUUAUUACCGCCAGUAAUCGAGUGUAAACCAUUACCAUUAUCAUUUACGUUACAUUUCUCGAACCAAAUAGCACCUUAGUUCUUGUGGGAAUGAAUAUGGUAAUCUUAAAGGAGUAUUUAAAUGCACUAGAGUUAAUGGUUAGUUGGCUAAAAAAUUGCUAGUGUAAUUAGCUAUCUAAUAAAUAGUAGCUUACUAUUAGUUAAUUUGCUAAAAACAGAUAAUAGCGAAAUUAUUAGCUAGACUAUUUGGAUGUCUUCAACUAAUUUUAAGAGCUAACUAUUAGCUCUAUUGCAUUCAAACACCUCUGUUAAACCUAAUGAACAAUCAUGUGUUCGAGACUUAAAUAUUGUGUAUUUCAGUUAGAUUUUGCUGGUUGACUUUUUUUAAAAAAAAUAUAAUUUUCAACUUCAGACCUGACACGGCCAAAAUUAGUAAAUUGCUGAUGCAGUUAUGCACAUUUUUCGCUUUUCUGAAGGGUCGUGGCCCUGUAGACGACUUCGUCAAUUUUGACUUGCCUGAACACUACAUCGACCACUUCAAACUGUAUGACAACAUUGGUGGGGAUCACAGCAACGUUUUUGCUGCGGGGCUGAAGACGGCAGACCGGGUGGUGACCGUUAGCAAUGGCUACAUGUGGGAGCUGAAGACUUCGGAAGGCGGGUGGGGCCUCCACGACAUCAUAAACCAGAACGACUGGAAGCUGCAGGGCAUCGUGAACGGCAUCGACAUGAGCGAGUGGAACCCCGCUGUGGACGUGCACCUCCACUCCGACGACUACACCAACUACACGUUCGAGACGCUGGACACCGGCAAGCGGCAGUGCAAGGCCGCCCUGCAGCGGCAGCUGGGCCUGCAGGUCCGCGACGACGUGCCACUGAUCGGGUUCAUCGGGCGGCUGGACCACCAGAAGGGCGUGGACAUCAUCGCCGACGCGAUCCACUGGAUCGCGGGGCAGGACGUGCAGCUCGUGAUGCUGGGCACCGGGCGGGCCGACCUGGAGGACAUGCUGCGGCGGUUCGAGUCGGAGCACAGCGACAAGGUGCGCGCGUGGGUGGGGUUCUCGGUGCCCCUGGCGCACCGCAUCACGGCGGGCGCGGACAUCCUGCUGAUGCCGUCGCGGUUCGAGCCGUGCGGGCUGAACCAGCUCUACGCCAUGGCGUACGGGACCGUGCCCGUGGUGCACGCCGUGGGGGGGCUCCGGGACACGGUGGCGCCGUUCGACCCGUUCAACGACACCGGGCUCGGGUGGACGUUCGACCGCGCGGAGGCGAACCGGAUGAUCGACGCGCUCUCGCACUGCCUCACCACGUACCGGAACUACAAGGAGAGCUGGCGCGGCCUGCAGGCGCGCGGCAUGGCGCAGGACCUCAGCUGGGACCACGCCGCCGUGCUGUAUGAGGACGUGCUCGUCAAGGCGAAGUACCAGUGGUGAGCGAAUUAAUUGGCGACGCCGACGCCGCUCCUGUCGCAGGACCUGGACGUUAUUUAGAAGGCUCUUCUCCCUGGCGGCUUUGAUGCGUGCGUCGCAUUUGCGCCGGGCGGACGGGCGACGGUGGUUGGCCUACCGCCUACGUCGGCUGCGUGCCCUGGGAAUUUGGGCGGGCACGAUGAUGCCACUGGGCACCGGGCGCGGGGUAGUAUGAUAUGAAACCGACGGCGAUGGAGAUGAGGCGCAUGGCAUUUUCCCACUGAUAAAUGGGGAGUUGUAUGCUACUUUAAUAUCGCCACUCCUGUUAGUAUUUAUAUUGAUGCUGUCAAGUUUUCCACUCCAAGAACAAAUGACGGUAGCCGGUAAGUAUAGGCCUAUUUGUAGAGCUAGUUAGAAGUACAUGUGCCCAAACCGACAACAUUGUACGUACAUUAUAAAGCACGGCACUAUUUGUUACUGUCAGUAACCGUGUCGUGCUAGUACUAUACCUAACCAUCGUCACAGGUACAGCAUUAUAGCACCUAUGACGCCAUUGUAUAGCACUUAGUAGUUAGUAGUGCUCUUGUCGGUCUAGAUAUUAUUUCACUUUAAGAGUGCUCAAAAGAGCUAGAACACCUUUAAAAUUACAUAUAUAUAAAUUUAAAACAUAAACAUGCAUACUUUAUUAUAUUUAAAAAUCAUAAUAAAUCACAAUUUACAAUCGCAUGCAUUGCAAGCAAUCAGUCGUAUCUAUACUACCUACCGUGUCAAAGCAGUACGGGUUGUGUUAUACCUAGUAUCCAUUUAGUAUGAUCCACUUGGCUAUCUAUAGUCAGAGGCUUGAACACCUCUUGGUUUAGCCGAACGUUUACAGUAUUAUUUAUAUUAUUUGAUUAAAUUUGAAUUGUUUAGUUUCUUCACGAGCCGUAUUCGGAGCCGGUGUGGAAAGGUAACGUUUUAAACAAAAGUGAAAAAGGGCGAGCUCUCCCAGCCGUUCAUUCCAACCGUAGACGCCUCAACUGUCAGCCCACGGGACAGGACACUGCUGGCCUAGCCUGCUGUGAGAGAGAGAGAGAGAGAUAUCACAGAGAAUCAAAGCACAGUACUACGAAGUUUCUUUUUUUGAAGGAAACAGUACUACCCGUCCUUCGUAUUUGCUACAACUGUAGGACUGUGGCCACUGACACUCGCACGUUGCUUGCCACAACCACCACCUCCGCCGUGUCAAACGCGCACGCAUCGAUGGCCAUUGCAGGCCCCUUGGCAACGCGAAUUGGGAUAGCUUUUCCCAUGCGAGUGAAAGUGAAGGUGCCUGCGCGGCUCCCGCACACACGGAAAGCUGGUUGCAAGAUAUGGACAUGUCUUGCAAAAAAUUCGUCACUUGUUGAUUGAUGCUCUGGGCUCCGAGAUGUACGUCCAAUUAAUGCUGUUUCCAUUCGUUAAUUCUGUGAGAUGACUCCAACUACGCUAACGCUUAGGCCCUGUUACAGACCGGUAAUUAUUAGCUAAUAAAUUAUUAGUUGUUUUUAGCUGGGUUAGGCUGACUACAGUGGUAUCCUCUCGCCUCCCCUUCCCUUGCCUCUGUAGUGAUGGUGGCGGAUACAGUAUCACAUUUGCUUAGGCUAUCCGCACUCAUUCAACUCUAAAAAUCCACUCUAAAAAGAAUAUUCCGUCCUAAUCAGCAAUAUUCUCUACUCUAUACAACAAUUUCCUGCGCUCAUGUUUACUCUACAUCUCAACUCUAUACCAACUCCCACGUUUUAUAUUAUUUUUCCCACUCUCCUACCCCGCCUAUCUACCUCCCCGCUCGGCACUCCGCCUCCCCCGCUAGCACUGGGCAUAAAACCCGAGCCCGAAGCCCUGUACCCGAAAUACCCGAACCCGUACCCGUAUAGCCCAAAACCCGUUACCUAAAUAGCUUCAGCGGGUAACGAAACUAAAUACCCGAAUUAAGUACGGGCCUAAUCGGGUAUUAAACCACGCUACCCGAAGCACUGUAGCUGCGUGCUUGCGCCAGCCCGCCAGGUGUUCGGCCAGUCGGCCUGCUCAGUGCUCACGGCCCAGUUCUCAGUUUCUCACGGCCCACGCACUGGCUGGAAGCGCCCCCCUCCCCAGUCCCCAGACCCACUGUCCAGAGCCAGAGCCCAGAGGCACGCACGACCGCACGAGGCCACGAGCACCGGAGCACGACCAUGAAAUUGACAAAUCAACAAAGCACAAACCCUAGCUCCUAGAGGUGGCGGCUGCCGGCUCCGCGGUCGGCACUCGGCAGUCGGCAACACCGCAGCAGGCAUUCCAGGCAUUCCAGGCAAGGGCGCAGCCGCGCAGGCGUGUGUGGGUGUGCGGUCUGCGGUGUGCCCCUGCGGUUCUUCUCCUCUCUCUCUCUCUCUCAUUGUGAGGCAAGGCAAGGCCACAGCCCACAGCGGCACAGCAUCGUCGGCGGCCACAGCGUCCACACUCCACAGGCAAGGCAAGGCAAGGCCUCUCUCCCGCAGCAGCAGGCGGCAGCGCCCAGCCUAAGGCUGGCUCCAGCAGGGUCCUGUAAAAGCUCCUGUACUCUACAUAUAGAGGUUUGUCAGAUCCUCUAUCCCUCCAACAAGGGACUUUAAAAGGUCCUCUAAAAUUUAUGGCUUGUUCGCUGCGGCUUGCUGCGGCUGCAAUCCGGCUGCGGCUGCGGCUUCUACAGUAUUUUUCUCUCUAUGGAUUGCAGCUGCAGCAGUCCAAACAGCUGCAACAGUGUCGGCUUGUAGCCAGCCGAACACGCCCUUAGAGGAUGACAUGCAUGCGCUAUGUAUAGAGAAUGUACGGCGGUGCUCUAUAUAGUGUGCUGAUUUCUGUGCACGUGCUGACGAGCGGUAAAAAAUAAUAUAGAAUGUCAAAUCUAGUAGCACUAUUGAUAUAGAGGAUGAAAUUUAGGGGAUAUUGCUGGAGAUGAAGAAGAUAUAGAGUACAGAAUCUUUUAGAGAGUGCUGUAAAGGACAGAGAAUAUUCUUUUAGGGGAUGAAAUUUAGGGGACGUUGCUGGAGACAGCCUAACAGCGUCAGACGCCCAACACUCCAGCAUCUUAGUGGACAGCGCCGCCCAGCCUAGCAUCGGGUAUUUUGAUAUUAACCGAACCCGUACCCGAAAGUAUGGGUACCCAAAAUUACGGGUACCCGACAUUAUGGGUACGGGUUCGGGCUUAGAUGUUUAAAACCCGAAAUAUAAAAAACCCGACCCGAAAUAUCGGGUAAACCCGAACGCCCAGCUCUAUCCCCCGCAGACAGUCCACGUGGAGGAAUAGGGUAUCCACUGCAAGACGCCAUAUCUGAGGUUCGAGCUUGCCUUGGGCCCGGUGCAGUUGGUCAUACAGUCCACCGCUGCAGGGAUAUUUUACUGUAAAUGGCGAUGCAUCCAGUUUGCAGUCCGCGAGUGCAGAUAGCCUUAGUGCUGAUUUGGUGACCAGGAAUCACGAGAGAAUCUAUACGAAAGGAAUUUCUUGUUAUUCAAUUUUGAAUAGUAAGAGGAUUCCGAAAAAUCAAAGUGCCUACUUGUGUAAUGAAUACAAGAAAUCUGAGUUAGUGUGUACAGUAUUCAGAAUUAUGCCACGUAACAAAAACAAAACAUGAGCGUUCGCGGGUGGUUGUUCACGUCGUAUUGGACAGCUUUUUAAAAAAAAAUUGCCAAGAGCUCACAAACGUUCUCAGUAGACCUGCCCGCGACUGUGGAUUCCAAAUCUAGGGGUCUGUUUGGUGUUUGGUUUAUGGAUUGAUUAAGUUUAACCGUUCAAAUUAAAUAACUAAUUUUAGCCAGAAAAGGUAGGUAAAAUAUGACAAAUUAGAUAGCGAACCAAAUGACUAUGCAUACUGAAGUUCCAGCACAAACUUAAUAGGGUUCAUUACAACCAACACACUUGGGUAACACGCAAAACAUCUCAUCCGAAAGAGGCCAUCACCAUGAGACCCCACAAAUGCUUAAUUGGCGGGUGAUAAAAGGCGGCCUACCUCCGUUAAUCUGCAAGCCAGCCUUACCACCACUUCCAAUUCCAAAACAACCAAGCAAAACGCUACCACACCAACCAGGCUAACACCAGCACGACAAAACCCGCGCUAAUACUAGGCCUAAACUACUGGUAAUUCCCCAGAUCCAAAGCGAGAUGCACCAUUCAUAAAACCAUGGCGCCUCUCGGCAAGCUCCGAGUGAGGGUGGACGACUCUACCACGACCAACGGAAAACUACUACUUGUGGCACCGCGUCGACGACGGACGAGACGACGCUGCGGGAACGAUGGAGGGUGUUCAGUUGAACUGGGCCCCGCUGAAGGUCUGGCCGAAGCCCCAGCCGCGCGGGGCAGCGUUGCUGGAGACCACGGAGCGGCCGUCGCUGGUGGUGACGCGGAAGGAGAGGGCCUGCCCGUCCAGGAGCGUGUUGCUCUGCCAGUUCUGGCCCCAGUUGCGCGACAGGGCCUGCCACCCCGCGGAACGGUCGCCCUUCACGGCCACCGCGUGCACGUCGCCGGCGCCGCCCACGUUGGUCACCAGCACCAGGUUGAAGUAGGAGUGGCCGUUGAUGGUGAACCGGAUGCCGCCCUUCUUGUUGCACGCGACCCUGCACAGCACGUAGGAUAGGAAACAAACAAACAAACAAACAAACAAACAAACAAGCGCGGCUCUCAGAUCUGCUCGAGUUCCUUUCCCUUCUUGUUUUGCUAUACACGGGCAAAAUAAACAACCACGGAGCACGGACCUGCGGUAGGAGACGGGGACAAUGCCAGCCCUGUAGAGCGCGAUGCGCUGGAACACGGGCUGCGACAUGUCGAAGUGGGCGCGCGGCGGGUUGCACCAGCCGCCGUCGUCGGACGGGAGCGCGUUGUUGGGCGGGCAGAAGUUGGUGGCCGUCACCACGACGGAGCCCGGCAGACACGAGCGGCCGCCGCCCCCCGCCGCGUCGCACCGCACCUCGAAGCAGGCGCCGCAGCUGAGGCCGUUGUUGAAGAGCGCCGUGCUCAGCGCCGCCGUGUUGGUGCCGUACCCCUGGCUGUAGAGGUUGCCGUACCCACACGCCCCGCCUGCAUGGACGCGCCGCGUUCAGAUGCGAAAUUCAGUCCAAGGCAUCUCGGCAGGGUACUGAAACCUACGAGAACCGCGAAAUGUUUGAGAAUGGGGGUCGCUCACGUACCCAUGGUGCCGGACGCAUCGCCGCCGCCGUAGAAGGUGGCGUGAGCCGAGGACCACGCGCCACCUCCGAGCGGUGCGUGGCCGUGCGGCCUCGGGUGCGGCUGGGCGCGGUGGUGGCCAAGCCGCAGCCCGCGAGAGAGGGCGAACGGGAGCAGCGCGGCGAGGACCACGACCGCGAGGACGGCUUGGCGAGGCGCCAUUGGAUUGGAGCGGGGUGUGUGUGGCGGUGCAGAAAGGCGCAGGACAAUGGCGGGAGUGGUGUGAAGUGAGGAGAUGUGGGGUGGGGUGGGGCUGUGUGUCGGGAUAAAUAGAGGGGGGCGGCGGAUGGGUUUCAAACCGCCGCGCGCGGUGCGCGUGGGCGUGGUGCCGGGCCGCGCAGGGCGUGGGCGGGACGGGGAUGGACGGUGGUUGGCGGCUGUGGGGCUGGGCUGGGGCCUGGGGCGCGCGGCGCCGUGGCAUGGUGGGCCACGCCGUGCUCUGGAAAAGUCGCUGAGCUACCACGUAGGGACACGGGUUUUCUGGCGGGCACCUUGGGAGGCGUGGCGGGCGGGAGAGGACGGGGAAAAAAAGGUGGGCGCCGCAGAGGACACCGGCGCGGUGACGGUGCUGUGCGGCAGCUUUGGAAGUUGAACAUGGCCGCGCGGGGUGGUGACUGACGGUGGUCCACCGUUCUAUUGCUCCAGCGAAUUCUCCUGUACUACUAUGUAUUUGGCACUAUUAUUCACUAUGAAAUCAUAUUAAAAUUAAGUUAAAAUUGGAUUUUUGAACCUACUGUUACAUGUCUAUGUGAUCAGUUCAAUAUUUUUUUUGAUAAAUACUGAAGCCGAAUUUACAGAUCAAUCUUGUUACGAGGUACUGUCCAAGUAAAAGAAAAGGUGACGAUGAUAAUAGCUUUCCGGAUUUACAUAUAAGAUUACAAAUAGGGAUAAUAAAUCGUUGAAAUCAAUAAGUUUAGGGUCUUUUUUGGAUUGCAGAAUUUUUCAGUUUUCCGUGUUUUUUUUUCUGAUGAACUGAUUCCUAUAUAAUUAUUCUGAAAUUCAUGCAUUCCAAAGGGCGUGACAUAUUGAUAUAGUUCUGUGUACCCGUCACGCUGCUACUUCAUAACUAACUUUGGAAGGAACCGAAUUCCUAUGGGAACUGAAGUACCGAGUAAUACCAAACGUCCAGGCCUAAUUACAACACAAGCAACCACAUAGCUUGAAAAGAGAUCUAUCAACAUACGACAAGAGAAACUACAUGAACAAUCCACCUCAAACUCAGACCAGUACGGCAGUACCAAAGGUCCAUAAAAUGCUGGCUACUAGAUCACCAGCACACACAAAAAAACAUAAAGGCCAAAAAACUCUCAGAUCACUCUUUCCACAUCUAAAAAAUCUUCAGAUCGUUUCUGCAAGAUCUUUACCCAGCUCUUCACUCUUCCAUUAUCAGCUAUUCAUUAGCUACAGCUAACAUUUAGAUGAUUACUAAAAAAAUAGUUUUGAACUGUUUAGAAUCAAUGACUGAUAGACGCUAUUCUCACAUAGAUAUAUUUAUGCCUCAUGGGCCCUAGCGAACACACAGAAGCACUUUCCUUGGGCACAUGAAAAUAACAGAUGGGUUGUCUACACUGCAUCAACACAAACUUCAACUCUAAUAGGAGACAAACUAGGACCACCCUGAGCCUACUGCUACCCCAACACCGCAAGUACCCUAAUGGCCCUAGCAAUACCAAUCGAACCACCUUAGGCCUUCUCUAGUGCCUCCCCCAUCCCACGAAGGGGAGCUUUGGGGGUGAAAUUGCCCUCCAACAACUACUCCAAAGCUCCCUCCAUAAGGAAAAGAGAGGAAACUCCUAACCAGGUUAUAUUAAACUAUGCUUUGCCUCACCGCACUAUCCCUCAAGCAACGGACAAGCUGAGAGGGCAAACACUAAAAUCCUUUGAAACCUCAAAACCUAGAUAUAUAAUUGUCUUAAAAACAUAGCUAGGUAUAUCAUCUUAGAGCCUGUUUGGAAAUGCAGUUUUGAAAUACUAUAGGUUUGAGAUACCACAGUUUACAAUUGUACAUAACACAAAUACCACGAUAUUACUUUACCACAGUAAAACCAUAGUAUUGCUCAAAACCGAGAUAUGUAGAGAAAAGAGAUGAAAACUGAGGUAUUUUUGCAGUUUUGAAACAAUACUAUGGUAUUUGAUAAUACUAUAGUAUUAGAGCUCAAAGGUUGUUUGGUUUGUACAGUCAAAACUCAGUUUUAAAUACCAUGAUUUUAUCCAAAACUGUGGUAUUUUUGGUGUUUUCGAAACUCCACUCAGGACCUUAGUUUUCUUCUCUUCUCUCUACAUAUACUUUGUUUUUUUCCAAUAGAACCAAACAGAUCUCGGUUGUGAGCAAUGAUGCAGUUUUAUUGUGGUAAAACAAUAUCAUAGUAUUUAUGUCAUGUACAAUUGUAAACUAUGGUAUCUCAAAACUACAGUAUUUUAAAACUGCAUUUACAAACAGGCCCUCAAAAGCUCCAAAAAUAUCACGGUUUUGGGUAUAUUAAAACCAUGUUUUAUCUGUACAAACCAAAUAUCUUUUGGGGUUCCAAUACUAUAGUAUAAUCAAAUAACAUAGUAUUGUUUUCAAAACUACAAAAAUACCACACUUCCAAACAGGGCCUUAACUCGAUUCUUUGGGCAAACAGAACUACUCCUAAUCAGGCCACGAGAGAAACUCCGUUCUUUUUGGCCUAUGGGGUCGGGCUCCCCUUGGUUAUUGUGUAUCAAGAUGUUUUGCAGCAGCAAAGUACGCCCUAAGGAUCUAGACUUGCUCGAUGAGCAAAGAUGACAGACUCUCCUUCGUGCGGUGGAUUACCAGCAAGCACCGCGCCGCCACCAUCUACGCCAUGUAAGGCCAUGGACACUUACAAAGGAGAUAUCAUGCAUGCUCUGAUGUAUCGUCAGCCAGGUAGGUAUGAACAAACUCUAUCCUGCCUAAGAGGGUCCUUUCCGGGUUACCGGAGUCUAGAAACCAGCAUCUAGUUCGGCUCAGCCCUGUUAAUAUGCUUGAUUUGUAGUAUUUAUUGUGGUCUAUUGCAGUGCUCAGUGGUGAAUCAGUGGAGAGACAGGAGAGAAUGAGACAAAUGACAGGGAUGGUUUCUUUAUUGCAGACAGGGUAGUAUAUACACAAGUGUUCUCAAGGGGUGUGUCCCUUGGGAAUAACUGUCACAUGGAUGGAUUAGAUCACAUGUACAAAUAUUUUGUAACACUCCCCCUUGAUCAAUCCUAAUCCAUUUGAUCAUCUGCAAUCUGUCAUCAAAUUCUUGAUCUCCUCAAAAACCCUGUGGGAAAAAUAAGGAGUACACAAUGUCUUUUGGAUAAUGAGAAUAAUCUCACAUAGUCUCCAAAAGAAAAAUAUGCUUGUAAUCAUCAUGUAUAAAAACCCCUGUGGGGAAAAUCAAUGAUGAAGCAUAUAGCUUUGUUGAUAUUACCUCGUUAAAAACUUUGAAUGAGAAAACCUUAGCAAGGCAAAAACUCAUACAAAGAAAAGAGUGUAAUAUGAUGGUUCAAUACAGGUUAUAUAUCAUGGGGAAUUACUCCCCCUGAACCUUGCAAGCACUUAAGUCUUCUCAUACCAAUCCUCUCAACACAUUUCUGAAAUGUAGAGUAUGGUAGAGACUGUGUGAAUAGAUCUGCAAGAUUAUCACAAGACUUUGUUUGCAAGAUGUUUAUAUCCCCUUUUUCCUGAAGUUCAUGGGGAUAAAACAGUUUAGGAGAAAUAUGCUUAUUGAUAUUGCUCUUGAUAUAACCUGUAUCCAUCUGAACAACACAAGCUGAAUUAUCUUCAUAGAUAAUUGUUGGUGAGUUAAGAGAACCAAUACCACAAGUUGUGAGUAUAUGAUUCACCAUUCUACGAAGCCAUACACAUUCAUGUGAUGCUUCAAAUAAUGCAAUUAUUUCAGAAUGGUUGGUGGACGUGGUCACCAAAGUCUGCUUAGACGAUUUCCACGAGAUGGCAGUUCCACCUUGUAAGAAUACGAAUCCUGUUUGCGAUCGGCCAUUGUGGGGAUCAGAUAAAUAGCCAGCAUCUGUAUACCCAAUUAAACUACGAUCAUUACUUCUCUUGUAAAAGAGUCCUAGAUCCUUUGUGCCAUUUAGGUAUCGGAAAAUAUUCUUAAUGCCAACCCAGUGUCUUUUCGUUGGGGGCAGAACUGUGCCUUGCUAACAAAUUUACUGCAAAAGCAAUAUCCGGCCGGGUAUUGUUAGCAAGAUACAUCAAUGCACCAAUAGCACUGAGAUAUGGGAACUCCGGUCCCAAUGUCUGUUCUUCAUCAUCCUGUGGUCUGAAUGGAUCUUUCUUUAAAUCCAAGGAUCUGACCACCAUAGGAGUCUUUGAAGGAUAAGACAUAUGCAUAUUGAAUUUUUCCAAUACCAUUUGGGUAUAUGUACUUUGAUGUACAAGGAUUCCAGAAGGUAAAUGCUCAAGUUGUAGACCUAAGCAAAAUUUGGUUUUACCCAAAUCCUUCAUCUCAAAUUCCGUCGUUAAAUGAUGACGUGCUUCAUCAAUAUCAAGUUUAUUACCUAUGAUGUUAAGGUCAUCAACAUAAACUGAUAUGAUACAGAAUCCCACUUUGGAUCUUUUGAUGAAGACGCACGGGCAAUCAUCAUUUUUCGUGUAUCCCUUACUCAAAAGGAAUUCACUCAAUCGGUUGUACCACAUUCUGCCCGAUUGUUUUAAGCCAUAUAAUGACUUCGGCAACUUUACACAAUACAUGUUGCACUUUGUCUUUGGAUUCGGUACAUCUAUUCCAUCAGGAACUUUCAUGUACAUAUCAGAAUCCAGUGACCCAUAAAGAUAUGCGGUCACUACGUCCAUCAACUGCAAAGAUAGACGAUUUUGCACUGCCAAAGAUAUUAAAUAUCGGAAUGUUAUUGCACUCAUGACUGUUGAAUAAGUUUCGUUGAAAUCAACGCCGGGUCUUUGUGUAAACCCUUGUGCUACUAGCCUUGCUUUGUAUCUCACUACCUCACCAUUUUCAUUUCGUUUCCGAAUGAAAACCCACUUAUAUCCCACAGGGAAGAUAUCACGUGGUGUAGGUAUUACAGCAGAGAAAACUUCUCUUUUGUAAAGCGAGGCUAACUCCGCUUCGAUUGCUGCCUUCCAUUUGAUCCAAUCCGAGCGCUUACUGCACUCUGCCAUGGUCUUUGGAUCUAGAUCAUUUUGAAGGUCCUCAGCAAUCUGCUCGGAGAAAUAUAUGUCGACAUUGGUAGCUUUUCUAUCAUAUGUUUCACCAGUCUCAACAUAGUUGAUGGCAAUUUCAUCAUUCCUUAGAGACUCAUCAGAAUUUCCCAAAUUGAUGUGUCUAGGAUUUUCCGAUGUCCCAGCCUCGGUUAUGUGCACAUCCGAGCUGGGUUGUGGAUCAUCACAAUCCACAUGAUACAUUGUAUCAUUUUGGUGUCCUUUUGCAUUCACUAUUGUUCUUUGCUUCUUGGCAACAGAACAGCGCUUAUUCACCAUACUUCUCCUCUCUAGGAGUUGAGUGGCCUUAUUCGGUACUUCCACUCUUUCUGGUGCAUUCCUAGCAGGAAUGAAUGAUUUAGUGACACCUUUGUAAUUAGUGAAUGCAUCUGGCAGUUCAUUUGCAAGUCUUUGCAAAUGUAUAAUUUUCUGAACUUGCAGUUCAGUUUCUGAAGUACGUGGAUCAGAACCUGGAACACAUUGAGUAUUCCAAUUUAUUUCCUGGCAUUCUUUUUGGUACUUAAAUUCUCCCCCUAAUGCCGGGAAAUGUUCCUCAUCAAAAAUAGAGUCAGCAAAACGGGCUGUAAAUAGAUCCCCUGUUAAGGGUUCUAAAUACUUAAUGAUCGACGGAGAUUGAAAUCCCACAUAGAUCCCCACUUUCCUGUGUGGGCCCAUAGCUGUUCUCUGAGGUGGUGAGAUUGGAAUGUAUACACAACAUCCAAAUUUGCGCAAAUGGGAAAUACUUGGAGGAUUUCCACGUACCAUUUGUAUUGGGGAUGUUGAAUGGUAUGCAGUUGGUCGUAAUUGUAUAAGGUCAGCAGCGUGCAGAACUGCAUGACCCCAACACGACGAAGGCAAUUUGCAAUUCAUCAAUAAUGGCCUUGCUAUGAGUUUAAUCCUCUUGAUUAGUGACUCAGCCAAACCAUUCUGGGUGUGGACAUACGGUACCGAGUGCUGUACUUGAAUCCCCAGCGCCAUACAAUAAUCAUUGAAUGCCUGAGAUUUGAAUUCAGCAGCAUUGUCCAUUCGGAUUGAACUAAUCCGAUGUUCAGGAAAAUUUGCCUUUAACUUGAUAAUUUGAGAUAUUAUCUUGGCAAAUGCAUGGUUGCGUGUUGAUAGUAAACACACAUGUGACCAUCUAGUAGAUGUGUCAAUCAGUACCAUGAAAUACCUGAACGGCCCAGAAGUUGGUAUAAUUGGCCCACAAAUAUCUCCUUGAAUCCUUUCAAGGAAUUUAAGCGGUUCAGCUUUAAUUUUGAGAUAUGAUGGUCUCAAAAUAAGUUUCCCAGUUGCACAUGCGGUGCAAACAAAAUCCUGAGAUUUGGGAAAACUUGUUGUGGGCAAAUUAUGACCAAUUGAAUUGCCUGUAAUUUUCCUCAUCAUCCCUACGCCAGGAUGACCAAGUCGAUCAUGCCAAAUCUGGAAUGCAUCAACAUCUUGGAAAAUUACCUUGUAUGCAACAUGUGCAUUGCUCUUAAUAUAUGUAUAGUACAACCCCAUAACUUUUGGCAUUAGGCCCUCCGAUUGGAGGAUCAUUAGGCCCAUUAGGCCCUCCGAUUGGAGGAGGAAGAUGAGGCCGACGUGGCGGCCGGAUCGAGGGCCAUUAGGCCCUCCGAUUGGAGGAGGAAGAUGAGGCCACCCCAUUUGGGUGAUGGUCGGUGAAGAUGAUGCAGCCUCUCGGGGCAUCAACAGCGCGAGCAGGCUGCCCACGACGGGCAGCGAUGGUCCCGACGACCAUAGACACUGGUGGAGAUGGCGAACGACGAGCAACUGCCGCUGCAGGUGGCGGUGGUGCCUCCAAAUUGACGUCCAUAGGAGCGGAUGCAGACGAUCCCACGUCAACGACCGGCACCGGUGGCGACGGGGAUGCAGUGGGGAGUCCACACUCCACCACCGGCAGCGGAACCACCGCUGUCCAUCCAUGGAUAACACAGAAGUGCACAUUUUGCACUUGCACACGGCGUUCAGGGAUCGCGUGCACCGGUGGAAGCGCUGCGGCUUGCCCAACGGUGAACGCUUCCAACAUCGCAUCAUCAACAAUAUGAAGAACUUCGCGCAUACGGCGUAUGCGCAUGGAAACGGUAUGUUUCAUACCUUGCUGUUGAUGUGCAGAUCGAUCUUGCUGUUCUUGUCAAGAACCGCGUGUUCUUCCUCUUUCCCUACUCUGAUUUCUCCUUGAGACAGUGCUGAUAACGUAUUGUGGUCUAUUGCAGUGCUCAGUGGUGAAUCAGUGGAGAGACAGGAGAGAAUGAGACAAAUGGCAGGGAUGGUUUCUUUAUUGCAGACAGGGUAGUAUAUAUACAAGUGUUCCCAAGGGGUGUGUCCCUUAGAAAUAACUGUCACAUGGAUGGAUUAGAUCACAUGUACAAAUAUUUUGUAACAGUAUUAUCUUACAUUAGCCACAAUUCUCUUCCAUUUUACUAUGCCGAUGGUUGGCUCGUUGCUGACACUUUUGCCACAGAUCAGUACGCUGUCACUGGGCUGAGGUUAACAUAUUCCUUAAUUUUUUUAAUUCUUACCGUUAGCGUAGGCCCACCGCCCUACAGGAGCAGCAGGAUUGCAAUUGCAGCCUGGGCGGGGGCGUGGAGCACCAUAGCAGCAGGCUGGCAGUUGCAGACUGUGUGGGGCUCCAUUGUCCAUUCGCUUCAAUCCGUCAGGUUGUGCGAGAAAUCAGAAAUAGCAAGCCAACACGGGACACGCACAGGCACAUGCUCCCUCUGCCGAGUUCCCUUCCGAUUCAGAGCGCCGAGCGCCCGCCCGGCCCCACCUGUGCAUGCCGAAGUCCUGCACAGAAAAUAGUCUGUCCCUUGUCCGAAGCCCACACGGGCGAGCAGCACCAGCACCUCACGUCGUCACCCACAAAACCGGAGCAGAUUCCUAGGGUUUCCAACGUUUUAAAAUGGUCGGACGAGAAACCCGCGCAUGCAGAUCGUUUUUAACAGAUUCAUUUGUCUUCAAGGUUGGCAAAUCGUUUUUGACGGGCUGCUGCUGCUGCUGGCCGCGGCGGGAGCUUUUGCAGAGACGGGAGAGGGACCCGUGAGCCGUGACCUACGGAAGCAAAGCGCAUCGAUUCGAACCCGUGGGGCCACAAGCCACGUCCCGAUGGCCGCUCCAACGGCAGCACGGUUCCAACUGCGAAGCCACCGGCGUAGCGCCGUACGCACUGUAGACUGCGUCCGAGCGAUACGUGUCGCAUGAACGACGCAGCGAAACGCGCAAGUGUCCUGCGGCGUCAGCCAUGCAGUUGCAGUUGCAGGUCCCUCGCUGUGGCCGGCCACCUGCAGUCUGCUCCUCUCCGUGCUGGGUCACGCGGCCGGGUGGGCAGUACUGUCUGGCUGUCAGCUGUCUGCAUUGAUUGAACGGAGGAGGGCCAUGAACCUUCCAGAGUCCCCGCGCCAAACGGAGACAACCAACCAGCCCAGCAGCGAAUCCAGACUCCGUUGGGCCCGUCAGAUCUGCGGCUCCAUUCCUUUCAAAUCCAUCCCAAGUCUAAGGAAAUCAAGAUCAACAACAAAGCAGAGUAGCUCCAAGAACAUAACCUCUUUACGUCCUCUCCAACAACCUUUUUACGCCCUUUUCUUAUGGACAGGGAAUCCCGGCUCCCGGCAUAGAGAUGGGCUGGGAAAAAAAACUUCAAAAGCUUUGUCAACUAGAUCUCCAAAUAUUCCUAUAUAUAUAUAUAUAUAUAUAUAUAUUAUUAAAGCAGGAAGGAAACACGGCCUGAUAGCCCAUCCACGUCAGUCGAAUUAUCUUAGCCGUUCGAUUGUCAAUCGUUGGUUCCCAUGCUCUCUCGUGCGCCCAUGUGUCUUAUCUGGAGGCUUCUAGGUGACACUUCUUUCCUCCUCGCAUCCUCUCUCUCCAUCCUGACUCACGCUCCCUCCCUCCCUCCCCAAGCAUCCCUGCCCACCCACGGCUCCGGCGACAGCGGCCGCCGUUUUGGACUCCAGAUCUGGCCGCCAUCGCUGCAACGGUCCAGGUAAGCGGCUAAUCUGCUCCGUUGUGCCCUGCUCUGCUCCUAGUCCUAGCGACGCAAGGGUUUUGGUUCAGUUUUUUUCCCUAGGGAAAAGGGAAGGGAAAAGCGAAGUGCAUGAAAUACAAAGAUUUGCUUUGGGAUUUUUUGGGGGCACUGCUAGUGUGUGUCGUGGCAUUGGAACGGAGUAAAAAGUGAGGGUUUGGUUUGGUAUUUUUGGAGCACUCCUGACUUAGUGUAUGUGUCGUGGUAUUUUAUUUCAAGAUCAAUCCAUUUGGUCCCCUAUUUUCUCAUGUCGGCUAAACAUUUUCCCUCUCUUGAUUUACAGCAUUAUUUCAGUGCAGUUUUGUUAACUCCUUUUUUCCUUUAGCAUGUCUUCAUUUAGUUUCUUAUUAUGCCCAUCCUUUUAUUUUUGACUAUGAAGCAGGCUUUCUGGAAUCACAUUUCUUGAGAACUAUCUGUUGGAGAGCUAAACUAGGCUCUUGUUCAUAUUAUGGAUCAGCAAGCUAAGAUUGAUGCUGAUUUUCUUGAACCAACUGUACUCUUAGAUGAGACACAUUACCAGGAGGGGUACAGAAAUGGCUAUAAUGAUGGUUUGGCAUCUGGAAAGGAAGAGGGGAGGCAGGUUGGUUUAAAGAUUGGUUUCCAGGUCGGUGAAGAACUGGGUUUCUUUCAGGGCUGUCUGGAUGUGUGGACGUCUGCAAUUCUCAUUGAUCAGAAUGCCUUCACAGCUCGGGUCAGGAAGAAUAUCGAGCAACUGGCUGCACUGGUGGGCAGCUAUCCGCUGUCCGAUCCGGAGAAUGAACAAAUUCAAGACGUGAUGGAGAAGAUAAGGCUGAAAUUCAGGGUCAUCACUGCAAGCUUAGGGGUGAAGUUAGAGUAUGAAGGGCACCCCAAAUCAUCUAAACAGGAUGUUGAGGAUCUGUGAGCGGUGAUUGAAAUUACAUUUUAGUUUCUCCGCCCUUGCUGUUUAAAGCUCUUCAACUCAUUGGCAUCAUGAGGAACUGCCGUGAGACAUCAAUGGUCAGAGUCCGACCAUAACCACAUAUAUAGUUUUAACAAUGUCUCAAGUUUUGUGUUAUUAUCUGUUGUCUGCCAUAUGUAAUAGUUUCCUUUUAGAAGGCAAAAGCACUUCCUUCCCAUUUUCUUUGAAGUACUUGUAUUCCUAUAGUCCAUUCCCGAUUUCUUUUUCGCCAAUUACAAAGACAAAGAUACCAAGCCGAAGUGCUAAAUAAGAUAUAGACAACUCGUCGAAGGACUUUGCCAAUGAGGAUUUAGGGACUGGUACCUCACUUGCAGGCUACGCCAUAAACAUGAGGGCUAAUGAUGUAGGCGUUCGACAGUCGGACACCGUCCAGGCUCAGACUCGAGAACCCAGCAUCUCGGAUGCUCUGUCCGGUUCUCCUGGUGAGGUGGCAUCCGUCCGCUACGAAUUGCUGCAAGGGAUCAAGCGCACCUUGAACCAAGCGGAGCAACGUACCAUCUGUGUCACGGACAAGAAGCAGCAGCUGAAUCAGCUGUUAGACCGAAACUCUUUUAGGAAAGAAAAACAAAUCCAUAUACCAUAUACAAAUGGAUGAUACAUAUAUCAUAAAGAAGGAAUAUGGAGCAGGUAGUCAGUAUCGAACCCGUAACCCCAAGGUUAUGAGCUUUGUGAGCUACCAAACUGCUCCACCUUCUUAGCGGGAAACUAGUGGGUUGGAUAGGCCCCUCUACCAUAUCUAUACAAAUAGAAUAGUCCAUUUAUACAGAAUGGUAAAGAGGGCUCUUCUACGAUCAUCAAUUCGAGAAAACCAUACAAAUAUGAAAGAAAGGGUAUUUUAUCCUUACCAACUGGAUCUUGUUGCACCCGGUAACAAACAUGCAUAAACCAUUUCUCGAAGUAUGUGUCCGGAUAGCCCAAAGUCUCGAUAGUUAGCUCUAGGUCUUCCGGUUAAAAAACAACGUCGAUGAAGGCGUGUAGGUGCACUAUUACCCGACAAUAUCAACAACCAGCUCUGAUAACACUUUCACGGUGCUUCUAU
rnacentral:lncRNA from 1 species